rnacentral:lncRNA from 1 species
UGGAAUUAAUAUUUAGCAUAAUUAAACCAACUAAAGUCUAAAAACUAAAAUAAUUUAAUCUUAAAAUUCAAACCAACAAGUGCUAUGUAUUUCUAUCACACAUAUUGAUCUACAAUUUCAUAUCUUCAUGAACUGUAAUAGUUAAUUCAAUUAAGAGAGAAUUGGGGGUAGAAAAAUAGAAUAAUGAACGUGAAUAAGGAAAGGAGAAUAUUGAGGGACGAAAGAGAGGAUAAUGAGGCAUGAAAUAUGUUGCAUUCUAUUUUUAAACCUGUUAAUGUAAUAGAAAUCUCUACAUUAAAGGUUAUUAAUCUGUACCAUAUAUACUUGACCUAUAUACAUUUAACCCAUAAUUAAUACCUAACUAAUAACUAUAGAUUAUAAUUAUGAUAAGUUAACUAUGACAUUAGCUAAGUGGGGUAAACACUGUAUAUUUGUUUUACCUUUUUUUGGGGUCAAAAAGGGCUUUUAUUAGAAACUAUUUAUAUAAAGCAAAAAGGACCAAAAGCCUAAGGGGUUCGGAAACCCAAAUCCAAAAAGGCAAGGGAAAAUACAAAAAUAAUAAAAUAAAAAAAAGGAAAGAUCUAGAAACUUUUCUUAAGGAAAGAGAAAAUUAAAAAGGAAAGAGAGAUAAUCUCUUCAUCUUCUUCGGUGAUUCACCUAACAAUGCUUUACCAUCGAUGACUUGAAGAGCUCCAACAAUAGUAUAGAAGCCAAGAUCACCCUUCAACGAAGAUGGAACUAGACAUGUGACCCAUCGGGUUUGGGUGUAUUUCGCAUAAGACAUUAAUAAAUCUCACCAAUGCUAUGAAAUGCAUUCUAACAAAGAAUUCUUUACCCGAUAUUAGCAUGUCUAGCCAAAGUCAUGAAGAUAAGACCCUUAUCUUCUAUUCUUAAGCCUAUAAAGAUCAUAAAAUUGAUGAAUUUAACUUCUAUUUCCUUUUGUUAGCAGGUUGAGCCCAUAAAGGACUAAUACCACUACUAAAUAAAGGAGAAAUAAAAGGUCUAUUCUCAACUCUCUCUAUAAUCUAACUUUUUCUUUUGUGUAGCUGAAACUUCAAAAUUUUUACACCUGUUAUAGUAUUUACUGAAAAAUUGUCACUUUAUAAUCCUUGUGGUAUUGGUACAAAACAAUUUUACACGGUAUUUUGCACCUCAAAAUUAUUUUUGACACUGUGAUUCUGAGAUUGGGAAUUUUAUUUUUUCAUUUUAAUAAUGACUUUGCCUUCAACUGAUAAUUUUUGCUGUGAAUUAUAAAUUAUACUUUGUGAACCAGUAAAAAAGAAAACUUGGUUAGCAAAAAAGUUUGCAAGCAUGUUUCCUUCCCUGAGGGUAUGUUCUACUUCCACAUUAACUAUAUCUCUUGUGAUAUUAACCCUAUUUACCUCUAUGGCAAUGUUUCAAGGAACUCAUCAAAUCCAUCUAAAACCUUCUUUAAAGAAUCACCCUCUAGAGUUAAAGAAAGUAGGUCAUGGAGAUAUAGUACUCCAGACCACUCUUAACGCAAUUGAUUCAGCAUCUAAACUUGUUCCAUCACCCAAACUAUUAGUUUUUGCAUAGACAAAGUCUCCUUCUCCAUUCCUUAUGCAGAAAGAAUAGGCCUCAAACUACGAUUUUAUUUUGCUGCUCUAUCAGAGUUUUAUUUAAAUCCUUCCUUCAUAGGCAGUUUCGACACCACUACCUUAUAAUCAAUAAAAGGGGUAUAUCUUCAAAUAACCUCCUAAUUAUGGACUAAUUAUUGGGUGUAUGCUUCAACUAAGGGUACCAAGUGAUAGAAAGCCUAUGAAAUUCUUUUUAACCUAUAUUAGCAUACUAUACAACAACAACAACAAAAUCAACAGAUCCAAUAUAUUUCCACAAUAAAUAAAUAUAUUAUCCCUUAUAUUUAAUUAUGUUUCUCCUCUCCCAUAUCUGUCAGAGAAAAAAAACAGAUAGUGUAAAGAGGUAAAAACUUACCUAUGCAGUCAACUUUCCACCAUUUAAAAAUAUAACAUUUAAGUUUUAUAAGUGGACAUGUAAACCAACAGCUGCAACAAUGACUUCCCAUAUUAUAAUAGAUGCAUGACAAGUUAUAAAAGAUGUUCAAAAGAUUCAUGAGCAUAUGUAUCACUACAACAACACAAAACUUCAUUAGUAAAACCUAUCUUCACUAGAUUUCCCUAAUACAGAUCCUUUCUUUCCAUAACCUCUAUAAAAAGUAAGAAACCUUGAAAGAAAGUACUCUUUCCUAUACAUAUUUGAGUUCUUUAUGAUAAGUUCAUGUAUCUCUCACCAACUUCCAUGCAGUGCUGAUGGUAAAAUUUCCUAAGCUAUGAAGUAUACACCAUGGUUUAUUCCAUUCCUCUAUGACCUAAAAUUGUACAAAUGUUUUGGCAAUAUGAUUGCAUACAUCCACUAGCAGAGCUUGUUGCAUUAGAUUGUCAUUCCAUCUUCCCUGUAUCAAAAGUAGACUUACAUCUUCUAAAGCAAAAUUACUAUUAAAUAAAAUAUGUAAAUAAUAAUAUAGAGCUUCAAGUACAGUCCAGUUGUCAAGACAAAGAGUAGAAUAGCCAUAUUUUGGUUUCACCAAAUUUCUUGAUUAAUGUAAUCCUUAACCAGGAGCAUAUGUUUCUAGGUUUGUGAACUCCCUCCGUGUUCUACCAUAUAAAGUUUGUUCACAAUGUUUUCUUGAUUUUAAAAUCCACCACAACUUAGCAGACAAAGGUUUGGACACAUCAAACCAGGAUGUAAAUUUCAAACCCCCUUUAUUUUUGGCAAACAAAUCUCCUUCCAUGACACCAAAUGCUUAUUUCUUCCUCCCUCUUUAAAAUUCUAUAAAACCCUUGCAAAAGUUAUAUGAAUAUCAUGUAUGAUAUAUUUAGGAGUAAUAAUAGCAGAUGACAUAUAUAGGGAUACUUUAUAAAACAUUAUUAAUCAAAACUGGUUUACUCCUAAAAGAAAAGAGCUUUCCUUUCCAGACCUGUAAUUUGUUUCGAACUUCCUUCAAAAGCUAUGAAAAAUGAUUCUUCCUUUUUAAACACGUCCAAUUGGUCUAAGCAUGUCAGAAUAAAUUUAUAUGUCAAAGGAGUUUUAUCCUUUGAAAAACCAUUAGGCUUAUCCAUUGUUUAAAUACUGGCAUGUAGCCCUAUAAUACACACAAAAAAGAAACGCACUUCUUUGUUUAUUUUCUAACCUGAUUGCUUCUCAUACACUCCUAGAGUUUCUAUAAUCAACUACAAGAUUUGCUUAUCAGAAAUAAAAACAAUAAUGGUUUCAUCAAUAUAAGUAAGACGAUUAAUACUUUUACUGUAUUUAGGCAUACCAAAACUUUUUAACUCUCUAUGAAGAAACAAAUUAUUAAGAGAUCUAGAAAACACUUUAGCAGCAAGGAUAAAAACUGCAGGACAGAGGAUCUCCUUGUUAAAACCUCUUAGAAGAGUGAAAAACCAUGUGCCUGUCAACUAAUGAGAAUAGUUUACCAGUUAUUAGCCACCAACCUAUAAACCUUACUAACAAGCAGGUUUUUAGAGCCCAUUUUUCUAAUACCUAAAUGGAACACCUCUAGUUUUUGGUCCGUGAUAAUUUCUAAAAUUUAUCUUCACUGCCUUGACUAUGAAUCAUUCUAAGAGUCAUAGGGUAUCUUGAUGGGUCACAUAACCCUAGUUGUAAGGUGUCUAGUGAAUGUUGCUUGAGCUUCUGUCCUAAGUAUGACUUGGAUACACGAGUCAUUGGACUCAAAUCGUAAUGAAAUUAGUAAGUGUGUAAUUGAGUUCUGCUUUGGGUAUGAGUGACACACUAAGAGCCAUAAGGACUUACUAUGAGUUAUUGGAUACAAAUUGUAGGAUGUCAAGUGUGUAACCCAAAUGGGUUCUGUGUUGACUACGACUGGACUCUAUAAAUUGUAAGGUCCCAUUAUGAGUCGUAGUAGUAGAGUCAUAGGGUCAACAGAUUUUGAGUGCCUUGGAUACUAUCUUGUCUACAACGUGAUGACAAGUCGUAAUGAGUCCCUACGAGUCGUAUAAUGACCCAUAGUCACUAACGACUAAAUUUCAGUUUUAAACUAGGGGAACUUUGGACAAUUCCUUUCUCACCCAAGUAGAACCCCACAUUCACAAGGCACUUAAGAGGCAUUAUUUAUCAUUCAUAACAUACUCAAAAACUUCUAAAGAUCUCUCAAGUCUCUCAAGCAACCAUACUUAGGGUUUCUAAGAAGUAGGUCAUCCAACGACUCAAAAGGUUGAAUUAUUUCAUGAAACUUGGUAUUUCAAGCAUGUUACUCUUUCCUAAUUGCUAAUUUCUUAAAAUUAUAUGAUUUAAUGGGUUUUUCAUGAGAUGUUGAUGUUGGUUUGAAACAAGGGUUGAGGGUUUUCAGUUCUUAUUGAUUGAACAAUGGUUCCCAUGGAUUACAUAUGAUUAUUCAUAAUUUAAUUUUAGUUUUUAAACUUGUGGGUGUAUGGGUAUGGUAAAUAAACAAGGGAAUUAUGAUUUCCCCAAACUCAAGUGAUUAUGACCUCAACCCUAUAUUGUGAAAUUUAUUUUGAAUAUGAAAAGUAUGCAUAUUGAACUACUCUUGAACUAUUGCAAAUGUGAAAAGUCAACGAAGUGUAAUAAUUUGAAAUUAAACCUUAAAUGGUUGUGUAAUUCCCCAAGCUAAUGUUUAAUUGAACCAACGGGGUUGUGAAGUCCCCCAAGUGAUGUAGGUGGUUUGGUAUAUUGAUGUUACCUAGCAAGUGUAGUUGGUAUGAUGAUACUAAUAAUGUUUUCCUUAAUGUGCAAUGUGGUUCAAUGAAUGAGAAUGCGUGAUAAAUGAUUUAAUUAGGCUUUAAUGAGAGUUGUGUAGCUGAGUAGUAAAAGUUGAGGUUUUAAGGGACCAAUACUGGAAACGACAAUUGUCGAUGUGGGGGUCUAUAUGACCGGGUUGUUUUAGUCUCCCUUAUUAUUAUCAUUUGAUCAGGAGGUUUGACUCUCUCAUAUUAUAUUACAUGAUUGGGUGUUUGUGUUACCUUAAUAUGUCGGGAGGUUCAAGUUCCCCAUUGUGCAUAUGCAUACCCUCUGUUUAUGUGGCCACAUGCACUAGGGCCCUACCAGUUGAGAGAGAGAUAUGCCUAUAAAGCCAAUGGGCACCUUCUUAUAUAAUGACGGUUGAGCGACAUAUAUUUAUGUCGGCAUUUGAUAUAUAUUUAUGUAUAUGCAUUUGAUUAUGUCCAUUGUUUUUGAACAAUUUUGAAUUGUUGAUAAAGACAUUACAUUAUCCUUACCCCUGAGUUACAUGCUAGUUUUCACCUCACUAACCAUCUUCGAAUGCUAUAUCACCACGUAAUAUAGGCACCAAAGAUACCUCUACUUUUCUUGCAUAGAGAUUGGUGGAUCGACUCGAUUUAUUAGUUCAUUGUGGUGAACUAGUGAGCUUCCAUUCUCUAAAAGACUUAGACAUUUCAUUAGUUCUUAUCAUAGAUUAGAAUUGAGAGUUUUCAUUAUCAUUAACAUUAUCAUUGUUAUUGUCCGAGUUAAGGACAUGUCCCGACCAAGAAUGGUUUUGGUUUUUGUGUUAGAAGGCUUUGUUGGAUUAUUAUGAACUUGGGUGAUGUUUGUCGGUUGUUUAGCCAGUUACUGGUUAUUGGUCAUAGACUUAUCUUUUAUUCUUUAAUAUUACCUUGUGUUAUGUUGUUAUAAGUUUUUGGAAUUCAUCCGACAUUGGGGAUGUUAUGUUCACUGGGUUAGGUGCAGGGGGUGGUCUCUAGUCUAUGUGGGACUUGGGAUGCCAGUCAUGGUCAGGCCCUUGUUUGGGUCGUGAUAAAAAUGGUAUCAGAGCCUAGGUUUGAUGUCAUUAGGAGUCCACAAAGUUGUGUUAAGUAGUCUUUUUUAUGGAUCUAUAGCACGCCAUACUUAUAGGGAAGAGGUUAUGAGGCAUUUAGAAAUAUUUUUCUUUCUUAUUGUUCUAUUUCGAGCUAUAGAGUCUAGUGUUUUGAAUCUCCUUUAAUUCCCAUCUGUUCGCUUUUUAGAUCAUGCCUCCCCGAAGAUUUGAUGUUUAGGGAAACUCUUCUGUCUUCUCAAGGAGAAUAUAGAUGGAGCCCCUUUUACUCUUGAGUUCAAACCCAGUCUAGGGUUACUCUUGAUGUGUCUAAUGUUGACUUUUGCCAUUCGAUUAAUUUGCUUACCCAGUUGGUGGCCUCCUAGACUGACCGGGUUACUUCUAUUGCUUCAUUCUCCAAGGACACUAGAGUUGGCAAAUUUAUGAGGUUGAGUCCUGCUAUUUUCACUGGUACUAGAGUUAAGAAAGAUACUCAAAAUUUCAUUAAUGAGAUGCAAAAGAUCUUUUGUGUGAUGCAUGAUAUGGAUGUGGAGGGUGUAGAGUUCGCAACUUAUUAGUUGAAGGAUGUAGCAUACCAAUGGUAUAAAGAGUAGGAGCCAUUAGGGGUGAUGAUGUUGAGUUCUCUUUGUGGUAUGACUUCUUUAGUGAUUUUCUUGAUUGCUUCUUUCCUCAAGAGUUGAGGGAGGUUAAGGAUGAGGAAUUCAUAAAUUUAAAGCAAGGCAGUAUAACAGUAAAAGAGUAUGACUUAAAGUUUCAUUUGUUGUCAUGUUAGGCCCCCGAGUUGGUAUCUAGUAUAAGGGUUAGAAUGAGGAAUUUUUCCUUUGGAUCAUCUCGUGAGUUAAUCUUGGAGAACAAGGCUUCCUUGUUGAACAAGGAUAUAGACAUCUCUAGAAUUAUGGUGUAUAUGCAAUAAGUAGAAGAGGAAAAGAAGAAGCAAACAGAGAUAAGUGAAAGGCAGAAUAAGAAUUUUUAAUAUUCAGAUUAGGGUAAAGGUCAGCAGUAGAGUGGUAGAGACGGUAGAAAGUGGUCUAAGAAUAAGUGGGGCAAUUUUUGUUCCUACUCUAUGCCUAGUGCUCCUUAUCCAAAGUCGUUGGGUGACCAUCAUUCUCAGUUUGAUAGUGGGUUUAGAGCACUAGGAGCCUAGCCUCAGGCUAGAGGGGCUCAGUUAGCUCCAUCGUAUCCUUUUUAUAGAUUUUGUGGUCAGGUGCACCAUGGUAUUUGUGAAAAAGGGGAACAAAUGUUUUAAAUGUGGACAAAUUAGUCAUAUGCAGAGGGAUUGUCCUUCUAGGGCUGCUUUUGGGGAAAAAAAAUUCUUGUUGCUUCCUCAUCAACUCCUACGCCAGAGAGUGCUACUUCUGUUUCUGUCUCAGGCGCUAGUAGGAACCAUCUGUAUGCUCUUGCCACCUGUCAGGCUUCUGAAGCAUCGCCUGAUAUUGUUACUGGUAUGAUCAAACUCUUCUCUCAUGAUAUAUAUUGUCUACUUUAUCUUGGGUCUACCCUCUCUUAUGUGACCCCUUAUGUGGCUAUCUAUUUUUGUUUUAACACUGAGUAUGUUUUGAACCCCUUUUCUGUGUCCACCCCAGUGGGUAACUCCAUUAUGGCUAGAAGGGUUUAUAGGGGUUGUGUGAUAUUGGUCUAUGUUAGAGAGACCUUAGUAGACCUAAUAGAGUUGGACAUGUUAGACUUUGAUAUGUUUUUGGGGAUGGAUUGGUUGCAUUCAUAUUAUGCGUCUCUUGAAUGUCGGACUCAAAGGGUCAGUUUCUAUUUCCCUAAUUAGUCGGGGAUUGAAUGGGAAUGUAAAUACCUAAUACCUAAGGGAAGGUUUAUUUUGUAUCUUAGAGCACGAAAAUUGGUUUCUAAAGGGUUCCUCAAUCACUUAGUACAUGUUAAGGAUUUUAGAACCGAAAGUCCUUUUUGCAGACUAUCCCUACAGCCUGUAAAUUUUUUGAGGUGUUUUCUAAUGAUCUUCUUAGUAUUCUCCCGAUAGGGAAAUUGAUUUUGGGAUUGAUCUUCUUCCGGAUACUCAUCCUGUUUCUAUUUCUCCUAAUAGAAUGGCUCUAGCUAUGUUGAAAGGACUCAAGGAGUAGUUGAAAGAUCUUUUGUAUAAGGGUUUUAUCCACCCUAGUAUGUCUUCGUAGGGUACUCUUGUUCUUUUCAUGCAUAAGAAGGAUAGGUCCCAUUGGUUGUGUUUACCACAAAUUGAAUAAGGUGACUGUGAGGAAUAAGUAUCCCUUUUCAAAGAUUGUUGAUCGGUUUAGUAAAUUUCAGGGUGCUAAGUUCUUUUCUAAGAUUAACCUUCGGCUAAGUUAUGAAUCAGAUUUUUUGUCAGUUCUUAGAUUUGUACAUGAUUUUCUUUAUUGAUAACAUUUUGGUAUAUUCUAAGAGCGAGGCGGAUCAUAACGAUCACCUUCGCAUAGUGUUGCAGAUCCUUAAGGAGCAACAUUUGUAUCUUAAAUUCUCUAAGUAUGAGCUUUGGUUAAAUAUUGUGACUUAUCUAGGUCUUGUUGUUUCUAGUAAAGGGAUCAUGGUAUAUCCACAAAAGGUUGUGGUGGUUAAGAAGAAUCCUAGACACACGACUCCAAUCGAUAUUCAGAGCUUCUUGGGUUUAUUUGAUUAUUAUAGAAGGUUUGUGGAAAGUUUUUCUUCUAUUGCUACCCCAUUGAUUAAGUUGACAUAGAAGAAGGUGAAAUUCUUAUAGUCUGAUACUUGUGAGGGUAGUUUUGAGAAGUUGAAGGACAAGUUAACUUCGACUCUGGUUUUGACUCUGCCUGAGGGCACUGAUGGUUUUAUGGUUUAUUAUGAUGUAUCUUGAGUGGGACUGGAAUGUGUAUUGAUACAAUAUGGCAAGGUAGUUGCUUAUUCAUCUCGAUAAUUAAAAGUCCAUGAGAGGAAUGACCCAACUCAUGAUUUGGAGUUGUUAGCUGUGAUGUUUGCAUUAAAGAUCUGGCGACAUUAUUUAUAUGGGUCUGUGUUGAUAUUUAUUCUAUUCAUAAGAUCCUAAAAUAUGUGUUCACUCAUAAGAAGCUAAAUCUCAGGCAAAUGAGAUGGCUUGAGUUGCUUAAGGACCAUGACAUAAGUCUUUACUAUCAUCCACGUAAAGGUAUCGUGGUUGCUAAUGCUCUUAGCAAGUUGUCCAUAGGAAUUUUAUAUCAUGUAGACGAAGAGAAACGGGAUUUGCUGAAGGAUAUUCACCGCUUGGCUAAUCUAAGAGUCCUCUUAGAUUUAGAGAAUAGUGGUGUGAUUAUUCAAGAGGCGACAAAGUCAUCUCUUGGUGUGGAGGUGAAGGAGAAACAAAUGUUGGAAUCUAUUUUGAUACAAAUUAAGAAUGAUGUAGGAAGGAAAAAGGUAAUGAUUUUUUAGAUCGGUGAUGAUUGUAUUUUGAGGUACCAAGGUUGAUUAUAUGUUCUCGAUUUGGAUGGGUUGCAAGGAAGAAUUUUUGCCAAAGAUCAUGAGUCUUAUUAUACUAUACAUCUGGUUCGAUGAAAAUGUAUCAUGACCUUAAAGAGAUUUAUUGGUGGAAUAACAUCAAUAGGGAUGUGUCUAAUUUUAUGGCUAAGUGCAUGGAGUGUCUGCAACUGAAGGUGGAGCACUUGUAGCUCGGUCGAUUAACUUAAGAAAUUGAGCUGCCGAUAUGGAAAUGGGAGAUAAUAAAUAUGGAUUAUGUUACCAGUCUUCUAUGGUCUUGCCAAUAAUUUGAUUUGAUUUGGGUCAUCGUGGAUAGGAUGACUAAGUCUGCUCACUUCUUGCCAGUGAGGACUAGUUUCUCUUCUGAGGAUUAUGCCAAGUUGUUCAUUGAGAUGAUCGUGAAGUUGUAUGGUACUCCAGUUUCCAUAUUAUCUGAUCAAGGUACACAGUUCUCAUCUCACUUUUGGAGGUCGUUUAAGAAAGAUUUGGGGAUUAACGUCACCCUUAGUACAGCUAUCCACCUGCAGAUGGAUGGGUAAGCAGAACAGAGAAUUUUGCCUUUGUAAGAUAUGCUUCGUUCUUGUGUAAUUGAUUUAGGUGGUACUUGGAUUGACCACUUGCCUCUUUUUGAAUUUUCCUAUAACAAUAGUUAUCACUCUAGUAUUGGUGAUCACCUAUCCAGACUUGAGGGUGAUCAAGCGGUCAAGGAUGAGUUUGAAAUUGAUGAUACAUUUUUGAAUGAGAAGGUCUUAGCUGCUGCACUUGAAAGAGUGCCUUGGUAUGCUGACUUUGUAAAUUAUAUGGUAAGUGAAUUCAAUCUCGGAGAAUCUAUCUUUUCAUCAAAAGAAGAAGUUCCUACAUGAUGUUACACACUACUUCUGGGAUGAUUUAUUUCAGAGGUGCGCAGAUAAUAUUAUCAGACGGUGUAUUCCAGAGGUGGACAUGUUGAAUAUCCUAGAAGCUUGUCAUCCUUCUUUGGUUGGGGGUCACUAUGAUGGUGACCGUAAUGCCAAACGUUUAUUAUUGGCCGACCUUAUUCAAAGAUGCCUAUCAGUUCAUGCGAAGAUAUGAUCAUUACAAGAGACAAGGGUCGCUCUCAAAGCACCAUGAGAUGCCUAUGACAAAAAUGAUGGAAUUUGAGUUCGAUGAAUGGGGCAUUGAUUUCAUGGGGCCCUUUGUGAGCUCUUAUGGGUUGAAAUACAUAUUGGUCGCCAUUGAUUAUGUGUCAAAAAGGGUUAAAGCUAUCGCUUUAGAUGAUAAUGAAGAAAAUAGAGUGGUUGCAUUCCUUAAAAAGAAUAUCUUUUUUUGCUUUGGGGUACCACUUACCAUCAUAAGUGAUGGUUGAUCACAUUUUUGUAACCAAGUGUUCCGGGUUGCCUUAACAAAAUACGGUGUUAAGCAACACGAGGUGGCAACUCUAUACCACCCAUAAACUAGUGGGCAAGUGGAGGUUUCAAACUGGGAGAUUAAGGAAAUAUUAGCCAAGAUAGUGAACACGAGCAGGAGUGAUUGGUCUCAAAAGCUCGAUGAUGCCUUGUGGGAAUAUCAAACAGCUUUCAAGACACCUAUUGGGAUGUUGACGUAUCAGCUGGUUUAUAGCAAUGCAUGUCACCUUCCGAUUAAGCUGGAACACAAGGCUUUGUGGUCACUCAAGCGGUUGAAUCUAGAUUGGAAGGAAGUAGCAGAAUUAAGAUUGGGGCACCUGAAUGAAAUGGAUGAAUUCUAUCUCGGUGCUUAUGAGAGAGUUGAUCUGUAUAAAGAAAGAAUGAGAAAGUACCACAAUCGAAGAAUCGAAAAGCUUGAUUUUCAAGUAGGAGAUUGGGUAUUACUAUUUAACUCCAAAAUCAAGCUCGUCUCAUGUAAACUCAAAUCUAAGUGGUAUGGCCCUUUCAAAGUCACCCAAAUCUAUUCAUCUGGAGUAAUCGAACUUGAAUAUAAUGAUGGAAGUGUCUUUAAAGUGAACGGGCAGCAUGUUAAGCAAUACAUUGGUCCUAUGAACUCGGUGAAAUAUUAAAGUAUAGUUUAUCUUAAUGAAGUCUGAGUAAUCAUGAAAACUGAGUCGUGCCACGAUAAUAAAUCAGGUGCUAAUGGGAGGCAACCCAUAAAGUAUUGUUGUAACCAUAGUUAGAGUUUGUUUGUUGUUUUGUGCAAUUUGAUGUUUUUGUGAAGUGUACAGAACUGAGAAUGCAGAAAGAAAGGAUUUUCUCUAGUUGAAAAUGGGUGAUGGGAAGGCUUAUGGACUGUCAAGGCCUCGACGAACCAUCAAUGGAACCGUCAAAUCCAUAGCUAAGAACUAGAGAUUCUGGAUAAGGCCUGAUGGUCAAAAUGAUGGAUCAUCAGGGUACCGACGGACCAUCAAGGCCACUGUCAACCUUAAACUCAAAUUUGAAGUUUAUGUAUUGGACUGACAGAAUGCUCGACGAAUCUUCGCAUUACUGACGGACUGUCGGAGCAACCGUCGUAGCAAGGUAGGCUUGAGAUGAUUCUAGUAAGUUAUGACGGUUAGCUCGACGGACUGUCGGAGCCCUGACGGACCAUGAGGUCAACCAUCAAACUAACCCUAGAUGACGGGUUGGGUCAGUUAAAUUUUGAGGCCUAUUUAAUUAUCUUUAUCUGACCCAAACAAUUUUAAAGAGAUAAAAAGAAGCGGUUUCAUACGUUUCCACCCUUUCAGAUCCUAAAAUUGUUUAACUUCUUCUAUAUUCAAAGUACCUAGUAUCAGUUAUCUCUACUUAGGACUCUCUCUCUUCUUUUUCUCUCCUAUUUAAACGACCCCAUCCCUCUUUUUCUCACAUCAGAUAACAAGUUAACAAUCUCUAAUAGAGGCUUUGAGUUUAUUUUAUUCCAAGUUUGCAAGUCAGAAUAGUCAAGUUUACUGCAACAUCAAGAUAUGAUCACAACCUUACUCUUCUUUUUGAAUCGAUAAACUUGUGUUAUGGAAGUUGUUGGUUGUUUGAAAGGAAUUCCAUCUUAUUUCUAUUUUGUGUCAAUCUAAUUCUAAGUCAAACCUUGCUAUGCAUUAUUCUGGGUGAAGUCUGAGUAACUCAUGAAUCAAAAGUGUCAAAAAUUUGUUCUUAAAUACUAAAUUAAGGCCAAAAUUAUACAAAUCAUUAGUGACAGCACACUAGGUGUUCGACAAAAUGUCAAGGUGAAGUUUGAGGGUAAAAAGUGUUGUUGACGGUCACCUUGACGGACCGUCUAGUAGACUGUUGCAAUGGCAUUGAAUCUAAAGUUUAAUGGUUAAGUAGCGAUGGAAAACUUGGCGGACUUUCAGUAACCUAAUGGACCGCCGAGUUGAUCGUCGCAAGGCUCUGAGAUGCAGGACAUACUGGUUAAGUCCUGACGGUAAGUUCAGUGGACCAUCACAGUCUCGACGGACCGUCAAAUUUUUCUUCAAGUGAAAAUUUCACUAUUUUUACUUGUUUUUUGAAUUACAAAUUGAUUUCGUGUUCUUUUCUUAGGCAAUAUGGUAUGAAAACUACCCAUAACCAGAGGUGGCCAUAGAGCACAAAUGGGAAGGGAGAAGCCAUCAGGAGUGAGGAGGCACUUGCCUUCAAUACUCGACAAUGAGACAGAGUACCUCAUACACUCUCCUAGUCUAAAGAGAAAAGUGAUAGCACCACUAGCAGCACAAUGAGGAAUGGGUCAACACAUCUAACCCUAACCUAGUCGAGGCAUCAGAGGCUGAGGAUGCCAAUGUGAUCAAGAGCAAAGACCCUCAAACAAGGGAAACAAUUAGGUGGACAGUUAAAGGUGCAAAGGAUAAAUACCUUGAUGGCUUAGAACCAAUUGAAACUAAGCCAAUUAAGAGGCCAAUCGCUGAAGAGUAUCAGAUAGUGACCUCCAAGUUGCAUGAGUAUCCAAAAAUUGAGUGGUAAUUCAAUGAAUACAAGCUAGCAUGGAUGAGCAAACCACUGAGGGCAUAUUAACCGACUAUUUUACGGGAUUUUUUCGUCAAUUAUUUGGCAGAGGCUGAGAAAGACUAUCCCAAGGGCUAAAAAAUUUUAGAUCUUCCCAACAGGAAAUCAGUUUUGGUUAGAGGGGUUACUAUUAACAAAUUGGCCUGUACAAUAAAUAGGAUACUAUUUGGCCCCUACUAUGAGGCACCGACUGUAUUUCCAAAGCUUGAGCAUCGCAUGACCAUGGCUUUCACUCAAAAACCUUAGUUGGCGAGGCUCCUUACUGAUGAAGAAAACCUUUCCUAGGAACUCAACCCGCGGGAGUGCAUUGCUAAGUCUUCUCUUAGCUUACGGGCUAUGUUUUGGUGGGCCAUUAUUUGAUUAAAGCUGAUGAUGAUAGGUGGAGAUGCUAAUUUGGAAAGUCAUAAAGCUGUGUUGGUGGCUAUUCUGAUUUCUGGGCUAAAGAUUAAUUUUGGCCAGAUUAUUGCAGAUGAGAUAUUUGUUCGAGCCUAUAAACUAACAAGCACUUUAUCAUUUCUAUGUUUGAUCACGGAAUUAUGCAGGCAGGCAAAUAUACCUUUGAUUUGAGAAGGUGAUAGUAAAGUUCGGGCUACUCAUAGGUAGGACAUUGAAAAAUUCAAGGAUGAAUCAAAGUUUGAAAUGCGAGUCAAUAAACCUCCUACUUAUCAGAUGUAGUCAGCGGCAGCCCCCAAUACUUUCGAGAUCCCUACAGGUAUGCCAUUGCCUAUCACCACUUAUGUGCCACCCAAUUAUGUGCCACCAAGUACUUCUGCAGGUUCUGCAUCGAUGUCACAAAUGGGUGGGACUUCAGACAUAAUAUCUGUCCCACCCUAAUCUUCGAAGUAUAAGUUAACAUAGGAAAAUUUUGCCAAGUUUGUUAAACUACAAAAAAAGUUCCAGAAGCAGCUAGACACAUGGGCUUCAUAAUUCAAGCCCUUUGUUGACCAUAUUAUAGCUGAGGCAAUCCAUCCCUUUAAAAAUAUUUAGACCAGGAUGGACCAUAUGGAGGAGCGUGUCAACAAAAGGCUCGAUGUGAUGUCUAUCCCAGAUAGAAGCUAAGUUCAUGGCAGAAUUCAAACAAGCACAGGCGGACAUAGCAAAGCUGAAGAGCCAACAACCACAUCAGCCCAUUUUUAACCCUGCUUUAGUUAUUAGUGAUAAAGAUUAGGGCAUUGUUGACUUGAUGGGGAUGCCUCUCAAGUACAAAGGCAAGAAUGUAGAUGAAAGUGAGGAUAGGAAAGCUAUCAAAAGAAGAAGGUGUAAAGAAAUGAUACUAGAAGAACAAGAAGCGAGAGAUAUGAGGAAGGCUGCAAAGAGAUCAAACAGAGAUAAAGAGAAUAGAUAGAAAAAGCUUAUAGAUAAAGUUGCAUGAGUUUCCACUAGUACUUCCCCAACUAGGGGGCUCAGUUUAAACCCGACUCAAGUUGAGAUAUCUUCGAUUCAAGAGGAUGAUAUUUUGAGUACCCCUACCAUCAUAGGGGUCAACAUUGCUGUAAGUGAGGCUCAAGAUGCCUCACCACAUUUGAUUGAUUCCUUAUCUGAAUAAGAGGCUUUAUAAGUAUUACCCUCAACUGUACUUUACUUAUAUGCAUUGAGGACAACAUAUUUUUUUGUAGGGGUGGGUAUGCUUGUACCAUGGGGUUUUUUUUGCUUGUGUUAUUUUUCUCCCAUAUGCUAUCUAGUAGAACCGACAUGUCUAGGUUGCAUUUUUUUUCUCUAAGGAAUUGUGAUGUAAAUAUCCGUUGUUGAUGUUAUUUAUGAAAGUUUCUUUUCUUUUAGCAUCUUUUUGUAUAAAUGGAUGACGUAUGACUGUGGCAUAAGACUAUGAACAUGUUUGUAUGACUAUUUUCUCUUGUCAGUCAGCAUAUGUUGAACAACCAUUGGUGAAUUUUGUAAUUGGCAUUAGGAUGUAAAGUUUGCAUGACUAUGUGUUGUAAAUCCCAAGAGUUGGUAAAAUAAGUGUAACUCAUGUGUCUAUGUGUGCAAGCAUUUGUUUUAGCUCUUGCAUAGUUAUAUACCAAGAACAUGCUUAGAUUAUUGAUGUUGUUUUGUGGUUGAUUCAAUAAGAGAUGAUAGAAGGUCUCCUUGUACUUUCAGUCCACUUAGCCAAAAUAACUAACCCACCAAAAAGUUUUUUCCAUUUUUGAACCAUUUUUGAGCUUAUGUUAGUUUUUCUUCAUUCCCAAUAACUCUAAUUAACUCUCUUUAAGUAGUUGACAUCCAACUUUAGCCCUGGUCCAAGAUUGAACAAUGUACAUCUUAACUUAGGAAAAACACCUAAGUUGUGGAUGGCUACUGUCAGGACAUUAGCAGUUUAACAAAAGAGUGGUUUAGAGCUAAAAUAAAGUAUUCGGCCCUGAUCUAUUUAAGAUAUUAUGCACCUCAACUGACUGCAUCAACAUAAGUUGAAGGUGGCUGAUGCUUAUAAAAAAAGGAGGGUUAUGGCAAAGUGUGAAUGAAUAAUAGAGAUUGUAAGUGAGCUGGAAAAACAGUAGCCUUGGUGAGUAGAAUUCAAGGGCAAAGAGAGUUAAGUCUGAAUGUUGAGUCACUUUUCCCAAAAAUAUAUCCUCACCUAGCCUUGGAACCUCAUUACAAGCCUGAAAAAGUCCUAUUUAAUCUUUGCGAAUCAACCAUAAGGGAGCAUUAGAUGAUAAGGGCAAGCCUAUGGGUGUAUGUUCUAUGUUUGUAAUUUCUUUGAUGAGUGCGAGAGUCUUGAUUUUCAUCCACAAGAUAUAAUGAGUGGUGGAAUUUAUUGAUUAUGAAGAAAACUUGAGUUACACCUAGUUUUGCUGAUCUCUAUCGGAUAUUACAUCCAUAUUUGUGUAUGUGCUAAAUCAUAAACAAUGUUGGUUGUAGAUACUGAAAUAGUAAGUGAAUGUUUGUGUGAAAUCUAGUUCAGUAGUCAAUUUCCUAUCAUUGUAUUAUUCAUCAAUGCAGUUUGGUGCUGAGUUGCUUGAGGACAAGUAAUUAUCUUAAGUUGAGGGUGUUGAUGUUUUGGAUUUUGACGAAACAUUUUACAUCUUUUUUCAAUAGAUAAUUAUAUGUUUUCAAGCAACUAAUGUUGUAUUUAAUAUUGGAUUUUAGUGUUUUUAGGUUAAGGAGUUAGUUGAACAAGAAACCUAGAAAAGUAGCAGAAAAAGGCCACUGAUGGUUGAACUGGUGGACCGUUAGCCAUGUGAUGAACCGUUAGGGUGACCUUCAGAAAUAAAUAGAAAGGAACAAGUAAGUGACUCAUGUGAUGUUCCAAGUGACGGACUGUCAGAUCAUUGACAGACCGCCAACUUGGCCGUCAGGCUGAAGUAGAGAAUGGGUUUUCGGAGGAUCAAGCGAUCACCUAUGUGACGGACCACAAAGAAAGCAAUGGUCAGCCAAUAUGACCGUCAACCCUUAACCAGAACGUAGCAUUUGGGACCUUUAGUGAUGAUCAAUGCGAUGGACCAUCUGGUUUCCGAUGGGCUAUCAGCAUGAUCGUCAACUUUGAUGCAGCUUUUAAUGAGUUUAAAUUUUAAAUCCUCAGUCCCUGGGAACAUAUAAAUACCCAGUUUAGGUUUUAUUUAGGUAUCUUUUAUCAUAUUUUCCAUCUAGAAACCUUAUUAUACGUAUUAUUCUCUAUGAUUCAAGCUACAAUUGCGGAUCUAGUUAUCUUUAUUCAUAUUCUCAUUGAAGAUUCAAGAACAAUUAUUGUAACUUUGUAAGUAAUUCUUUGAAUCUAUUUAUGAAGAACACAAUGAUUUCCUCUUUUUCUCUUGAGAUAUGCGGAGAAACUCCCAUAACUAGGGUUAAGGGAGCCUUGAUGUGAAUAACUAAUUGGGGUUGUGAAAAUGUUUAAUUUUCAUAUGUAAUUGAGAUUGUAUAAACCCUUCUUCAUAUUAAUGACCUUUCUUGGUUGUAAAAUUGACGGGUGAGCCCAAGAACAUUACUUGUUUGAAAAAAAAAAAUAUGGGUGGAAAAGAACGAGUUUACAUGGAGUCUAAAGGCCUUAGCCAUUGGGUUAUGAGUUGAUGCCUUAACAAGGAUUGACUCACAUGAGAGAUUAGUUGAAUACAUUUAUAUAUUCUUUGAGUUUGAAAGAAUUAAAGGGUAAACUACCCAUUUAGGUUGAGAAAGAAAUGGGUAAACUUUAGAAUUCAAUAACUUUUGCAAUUGAAGUUGUAAAUUGGUAAUUUAAGAUAAUUCACAAUCCCAUCUGUUUGAACAUCUUGGUGAACAUAACUCUAGUUUGUUUAUUCUCAUUGUAUUAGUACUUGCAAUAAAACUUGCUAGCUGGAACACUACUCGUUACAACCCUUUAAAUACUGUAAACAAUUCAAAAACCCCUUUACUCAGGAACCUUCGAUCAACAGUCUGUUAACAACCAUAACACUUAGUUUGCACAGUAUUCCCUAUAGGAUUUGACCCCAACCUAGUUGGGUUUUAUAUUUGACAACAACCUCUUACACUUUUUAACGAGAGUUGUAAUUUGGUCGUAUCAUAACUUCAUCAAAGUUUCUUCAAUACAAUCUAGAAAUUAAGGUUCCUAAUCCAAGAAGUUUAAGAAAAAUCUUUGAAUAACAUUCCCAAGUCUUCCAAGUCAAGCUUUCAAUUUUAAAUCAUCUAUUAAGGUGUGUGGGAGUUCAUCCAUGAGUCCUCUUUCACUAAUGGAUCGCAAAAUUAUUUUAUUUCAAUUAACGAAUAAUUUUUCGAUCAUUAUGUUAUUUUAAAUAUUCAAGAAAGAUUGAAUUGCAUGUUUUCAUGGUGAUUUUAAUUAAUUUCUUCCCAUGUGUGAUUCUAUGUAAGAUUUUGAAUUCCCUAAGCUAUGAAUUUGAGUUUCCCAUGCUUUAUUCAAGUGAAUUCCAUGAUAGAUCCUUAAUUCAUGAUUUUUAGCAACAUUCUGAUAUUUUAUAUUCAUGCUUUUCACAUGUUUGCUGAAUUCACAUAUCACGUUCAAUCAAUUUCAAGAUGAAUCUCCAAGUUAUGAAUUUUCCAUACAAUUUAUUGUUCACCCAUGUUUAAGACAUUUUAGGUUCAAGCUAUGAUCUUUACAUGUAUGAUUAAACACCUAUGUCCUAUUUCAAUUGAAUUUCAUGUGAAUUUCUAAAUUCAAGAUUUUAGUUAUGUAAUCAUGCUAUGUUCUCAUGUUUGAGAUAUUCCCAUGUUUAAGUUCAUGAUCCCUGUAUGUUUGAUGGACUUUCCCAUGUUAGUAUUAAUCCCCAUGUGUAUGAUGAAAUGCCUAAGUGAUGGGUUUCUUUAAAUAAUACUUACUUAUUAUGGUCUCAAAUUCUCUCACGUGUUUUUAUUAUUAUUGAUAUCAAGUACUGGGGGUUAUGAAUGCCCAAAGUAUAGUUGUUUAUAUUGUCUCCAAUCAAAAUAGAAUGAUUCCAUAGUAUCCGGAACAGUAGUAUUCGGUCAGACAAUAGGAUCAGUGUGAGCUCAGUCAAGCCUAGUACAGUCUAAUGAUCAGUUCGGUGUCGAUUCAGUUGGGAGUACGAUUCAGCACCACGCGAACCCAGGGAUAGAGGCAUUCCUUCCAGCAGAGGGUUUGACCCUUAGUAGUAGUCCCUGAGUUACAAAACUACGUAGCCAACGUAGGGUAAAUCAUCUUUCUGUCAGACUAGGGUUAACGUAACCAUAUACUUCUCAUGAGUUUUCCUAUCAGAUUAGGGUUGACAUGGCAAAUUUUAGUAACUCAUGGCACAAUGCUAAGCCUUUCCAAUUGGGGUUACAGGUUUGACCUUAAAUUAGUCUAUAAUCUUGGUAUAUUAGUUACAGUCUCAGUUCAGCAUUCAGUUCAGAGUUCAGUUUCAGAUUUGCUUGACCAUAGCAUACAAUUAUAAGUUAUUCAAGUAUCAGUAUUUUAUUUUUUUUUAGUUUACAGAGUAUUUCAAAAUCAUCUUAUAUACUUAAUCUUGCAUUUUUAGAUAUUACAAUUUUCAUGCAUUCAUGCUCAGUUAUCUCAUGUUGGUUAGAUAGUCCUCAACUCAUAUGCAUAGUACCCCACAGUUUUGGUUUUAUUAUUCAGUUUAGAACUUAGGUUAGUUUUAGGUUUUCUUGACCAUAGCAUACAUGUAUUCGUUAUUCAGUUAUCAGUAUUUCAGUUUAUAGAUUAUUUCCUAAUCAUGUUAUACGCUUGGUAUUGCAUUCUCAGAUAAUACAGUUUUAUGUAUUUAUGUUUGGUCAUCUCAUGUUGUUUAGUUAGUACUUAUCUCAUGUGCAUAGCACUCCACAGUUUCAGUCCAGUUAUUUAGACUAAGUACAGUCCAGUCUUACUUUACCAGUAUUUAACUAUCAGUCAUUUAGUUAAUCAAAUAAGCUUAGUAUAUGUUAAGUUUAGUUCUGUAUAUUUAGGUAUACGUGCUCAGUAUAAUUGUAUAUUCAGAUCCCCAAUGUUAUGGUAGUUUUCAUCACGUAGUUUCAGACUCAGUAUUCAUAUUUUACAGUAUCCCCACUUCAGUUCUACUUAUGUCAUUAAAGUAAAGUUUUACAGAAACUAAGUGUAGAGAUUCGCCAUCUUAUCAGAGUAUGUUUGUCACUCAUGCUUUAAGAUGUUUUCAGCUUUCAGUUUAUUCUAGCCUAUUGGUGAGUCUACUUGCACCUAGCAUGCGUGUUUUAAGAUUAUGUAUGAAAUCAGUUUUACUUAUUGAAUUCACCCUUUCAUACUUAGUAUAUUUCAAAAUUAUUGAUCCAUAUAUAUGUCUGUGUGGCUACACUAUUUCAUAAUUUAGCUACCAUUUAUAGCCUGCACAUCACGAUCAGACAGUUGCAGACUCCAGCUAACAGGUGAUGAGUUCUCCUACUUUGGGAACUCCAGAUAGUUUUAGUUCAUGUACAUCUCAUUUAUUUUCAUAUAUAUUGAUUUGUGGUAGUUGGAGGCAUGUCCCAGAUAUCUAUAGUCAGUAUAGUAGAGGCUUCAUAGAGGUUAGUCAGAGUCAGUUAUGUAAAUUUUAGUUUCUUACUUCUGUUUUAUCAGAUUGUAAACUUUAUCGGUAAUGUAUUUAUUCAGAUAUGCCAUGAAUUUGUUUCCUCAUAGCAGAACUUGUUAUUAUUUUAUUAGAAGCCAAUUGCUUAAUAGUAAGCAAGUUUAUGGGUUAACUUAGGAUCACUUGUAGUUCCAAGCACCGUGUGAUGACUAGGGGGUAGUCUUGGGUUGUUACAAACAUCGUAUUAGAGCAUAGAGUUCAAGUGUCCUAGGGUGUCUAUGAAGUCAUGUUUAGUAGAGCCUGGCGGAAUGGUAUAGAGAUGUCUGUACUUUUCUUAAUUGGCUACAGGGCAUUUAGGAAAUAUUUCCCUUCUUUCUUAUGUUAGAUCGUUCUAUAGAAAGGUUCUCUAAGAAUAUAAGAAACUUAUACAGAUUCUCAUCUUGCUCUAUUCAUUCCAUCUUACCUUAUUUUUGUGGUAAUAGAAAUAGUCAAACUCAAAUUCCCACGGACAGAGUUUUCUGAGAUAGUCCCCACAGACAGUUUUAGGAUUUUAUGUUGGCUCAGAAAGUAUACCAUUAUUUCCCUUAUGUUCUAAACUUUGAAAAUAUUCAUUCCAUUUUUAUUCAUAAAAAUACUACAUUUAGCCAAAGUUAGAUGUGCUUUUAUAUCCCUUCUUAGAAUCAUAUGAUAGCAUAUGAUCUAGAGUUAAAAUCAUGAACCCAGAAGUUUAGAAGUAGGAGAGUUGGGAUAGGUGUUAUCUGGAUUGAGCAGAUUUUGUAUCCAUGGGGCUAGUUGUAUGAAAGGUGAACCAUAGGCUUGAAACAGUGUAUGUAAGAUUCAAAAUUAUAUGUUGUUAAUGCCAGAUGUUUAGGUGUGACGGUAGUUAGCAUGUUUUAGAUGUAAUAUUAGUAGACUAUAAAGGAAGUUAGUAUGGUUCAUUGAAGGUUUGGGGAUAUCCAUGCUAAGUUUUAGAAUCUAAGUGUGAAUCUUAGAAAAUUUAGCUUACAAAAAAAAAAGAGUUGAAGCUCUAGAUGGUGUGAACUCAGAGUAAGGUGAUUGUAUUUCAGUUUAGAGUUAGUAAAGGGGUCCACAGACUUAAGAUGAUAGCUUUAGUCUAAGGGGGAGAUGAUAGAAUAAGUGACCAAGUCAGGCUCUCAAAUUCUAGUAGUAGUGCCAUAUAUGUAGAAAAGAAGUAAGGGAGGAUGAUUCCCAACCUAUUCUUAUCUCAGUGCAAAGUUUUUCAGUCUUCACGAUAUCUACUUAUUCCUUACAAGUCAGCUCCAUGAUCAUGUCUUAUGUUCAUGCACAUCAUAGAGAAUAAUGUACGCUUUUCGUUCCUAGUAUAAGCAGUUCUAGUUCACUCAGUAGUAAGAAUCAUAUUCCAUGAAAUCUUGAACUCCAAACUCAGGUCAUGCAGCUCAUGACUCAUGUACCCAUGCCUUAUAGUAUGUUCAGAUCCAGGUACUCAUGCAACACUCCUAAUGAUCAGCAAAAUUUAGUUUAUUUUAUGUAUACCAUUAGUUUAGCUCUCUUCGACGAAUUCAUACUUUUAAUACUCUACUCCACAGGCUUCAGUUAAGUGUCAUGGUUAUCCUUUCAUAUUUCAAGUCCUUAUGUUCUAACUUUUCAGUGAACUCUCCUUAUGUCAUGAUUAGUUGAAAUUCUAUGUGUAUUUUCUUGGGAUAGUGCAUGAAAGUUUUAAGGAUAGAGGUUUAGAGAAUAUGAGAAAGAUGGUUUUGUGGUUGUUUGCCUAUAAGUUCAUGUGUGGUUAUAAUGAUAGGCUUUAAUGUUAGGUUGGUGUAUAGUGGAUGAAUUCAUUGGGCACUAGUUAAUUCAUGGUAAGAGAUUGAAGUUAGUUGUUGAAGUGGGAAUGAUUAUUAUUCUUAAGAUGAGAAGUUGCGAAAACGAAUGGUAGAUUGAAUUCAUGGUUAGUCUAGUAUUAUUGUGAUAUGUGUGCACUUUGUAGACUCGAGUAGGCAUGAGCAUAGUGAGAGAAUUUAAUUCAGCUCAGACUUCAGUAGAUAAAGUUAUUAGUGCCCAUCUGAAUAUUUUCAUAAGCCUCAAGUGAAGUGCAGUUUUGAAGUGAAAUGUAUAGCCGAGUAUAAGAUUUCAGUAUAUUUAGUCUGUUUAGCCAUUAAUCAAGUUUAGCAGUCACACAGAAAAGUUCCUAUAGUUUUUCCUUUUUCCAUCUAGUCUUACUAUUCGAUGUUUCAUGAGUUUAACUAUUCCAUGGUAUAAUUCAGUCACGUCCAUGCAAGUUACAAAUUCAGUUUAAUCCAUGCAUCAUGUUUCAGAUUCAGAUAUUCAGUCAUGAUUCAAUUCAUAAGUGUCCCAUGCCACAUCCCAGUCUUCCCUUAGUAUUUCAUCUAAGUCAGUGUCUUUCAGGGAACAAAUAAUCCCAAGGGGGAUGUUGUAAUACCCCGAGUAUUUAUGUCCUAAGCCUAUCAUCUUUUCUUCAUGAAAUCAGAUCAAUCUUUAAGUAGUAGUUACUCAUAAGUUAACUCUCUUAUUAUAUCUUAUCCAUACAACCAUUCUCAUAUCAGUGCAUGUAUGCAUGAAAAUCAGUUUGAUUCAUGUAUCCUAUUUCAGAAUCAGUUAUGCAAUCAUGUUCCAAGUCAUACAUGUUAAAAAUAUGAUCUCAGUUACCUUCGUACAAUACUCUCAGUCUAACCAGUCUCAUUCGAGGAUGAAUAUUUCUAAGUGAGAGAUAAUGUAACACCCCGUAUUUUUGGGCUAAUCUAUGUACCAUAGUUCCUAUGUGUAAAAGCUAUAAUCCAAAUGAUUCCCACAUGAAUAUAAGUUUCAUGAUCUUUAUCCUCGUGUUUGAUGUUCUUUUGAGGUGAAGAAUGUUCAUAAGAAUCACUUAUAAUAAAGUUGAGCUUAGAGCCUUUUGAUUCGUCCAAAUUUUGGUGUUCGAUUCUACAAGGAUCUAAUUUUAAUGUGUAUAAUUUUUUAUAUAUGUGGAAUUUUGCAGCUCAAUAUCUACAAAAUUUAAUAUAAUUGAAUUAGCUUUCCAACAGUACCAAUUUCGCGUUAAUCCUAUACCCGAGUGAAAGGUUAUGACAUUUUUCAUGAGAGGUUGUAAGUCGAUGCGAUAGGGACGCGACGUGUCUGUCAUCGACAUGAUUAGCAAUGCGACACGAUGGAAGCCGCGUCACUGAACUAUUUCACAUGCUAUUUCAUUUCCUAAAGGGUCUAGGGGCACUUUGGUCACUUCUUCUCACCCAAAUCUGUCCAUAACAUUUAAUUUCAUCCCAAAAGCAUUAGGUACAUGAUUUCUCAUCUUUUUCUCUCCAAUAAAACCCUAUCCCCCUCAAGAACAUCAAGAACUUCAUCAAAGUUUCUUCAAUACAAUCAAGAAAUUAAGGUUUCUAAUCCAAGAAGUUCAAGAAAAAGCUUACGAUAACAUUCCCAAGGCUUCCAAGUCAAGCUUUAAAUUUCAAAUCAUCUAUUAAGAUAUGUGGGAGUUCAUCCAUGGGUCCUCUUUCACCCAUGGAGCCCAAAACCCUUUUAUUUCAAUUAAAGAAUAAAUUUUUCGAUUAUUAUGUUAUUUUAAAUGUUCAAGAAAGAUUGAAUUGCAUGUUUUCCUGGUGAUUUUAAUUAAUUUCAGCACAUGUGUGAUUUCAUGCAAGAUUUUGAAUUUCCCAUGCUAUAAAUUUAAGUUUCCCAUGCUUUAUUCAAGUUAAUUCCCUAAUAGAUCCUAAAUUCAUGAUCUUUAGCAACAUUCUCAUGCUUUCCAUAUGUUUGAUGAAAUUUCUAUAUCACAUUCAAUCAAUUUCAAGAUGAAUCCCCAAGUUAUGGAUUUUUCCAUGUAACUCUAUUGUUCACCCGUGUUUAAGAUAUUUUUAGGUUCAAGCUAUGAUCUUUACAUGUAUGAUUAAAUGCCCAUGUCCUAUUUCAAGCGAAUUUUAUGUGAAUUCCUAAAUUCAUAAUUUUAGUUAUGUAAUCAUGCUAUGCUCCUAUGGUUGAGAUAUUUCUAUGUUCAAGUUCAUGAUCCCUGUGUGUUUGAUGGACUGUCCUAUGUUAAAGUAUUAAUCCCAACGUGUAUGAUGAAAUGCCCAAGUGAUGGGUUUCUUUAUAUAAUGCUUACUUAUUAUGUACUCAAAUGCUCUUAUAUGUUCUUAUUAUUAUUGCUAUCGAGUACUGGGGAUUAUGAAUACCCAAAAUUUAGUUAUUUAUCUAGUCUCCAGUCAAAAUAGAAUGUUUUUAUAGUAUCCCAAAUAGUAGCAUUCAAUCAGUCAACAGAAUCAAUGUGAGUUUAGUCAAGUCUAGUACAGUCUAGUGAUCAGUUCAGUGUCAAUUCAGUUAGGAGUACGAUUCAUCACUGAGCGAACCUAGGGAUGAGGUCAUUCAAGCCAGCAGAGGGUUUGACCCUUAGAGGUAGUCCUUGAGUUACAUAACUAUGUAGCCAGUUUAGGGUAAAUCAUUUUCCUGUCAGACUAGGGUUGACGUAACCAUAUACUUCUCAUAAGUCUUCCUGCCAGAUUAGGGUUGACCCAGCAAAUGUUAGUAACCCGUGGCAGGAUGCUAACACCCUUGCAACUAGGGUUGCAGGUUGGGCCCUAAAUCAGUUUAUAAUUAGGGUAUGUCAGUUUGAUGAUAACUCCCACAGUCUUAGUUACCGUCUUAGUUCAGAGUUUAGUUUUAGGUUUGCUUGAUCAUAGCAUACAAUUAUCAGUUAUUCAGGUAUUAGUAUUUCAAUAUUUCAGUUUAUAGACUAUUUCAGAAUCAUUUUAUACGCUUGGUUUUGCAUUCUUAGAUAUUACAGUAUCCACGCAUUCAUGCUCAGUUAUCUCAUGUUGUUUAGAUAGUCCUCAACUCAUAUGCAUAGUAACCCAUAAUUUUAGUUUCAGUAUUCAGUUCAGAAAUCAGUUUAGUUUAAGGUUUGCUUGACCAUAGCAUACAAUUAUCAGUUAUUCAGUUAUUAGUAUUUCAGUUUAUAGACUAUUUUUGAAUCAUGUUAUAUCCUUGGUCUUGCAUUCUCAGAUAAUACAGUUUCAUGCAUUCAUGUUCGGCCCUCUCAUGUUGUUCAGUUAGUCCUUAUCUCAUGUGCAUAGUACACCACAGUUUUAGUCCAAUUAUUCAGAUUAAGUAUAGUCCAGUCUUACAUGACCAGUAUUCAGCUAAAAGUUAUUCAGUUAAUUAGUUAAGCUUAGCAUAUGUUACAUUGGGUUCUGUAUGUUUAGGUAUUCGAGCUCAGUAUAAUUGUAUAUUCAGAUCCCCGAUGUUAUGUAAAUUUUUUUCACAUAGUUUAAGACUCAUUUUCAUAUAGUAUUCACAUUUUAUUGUAUCCCAGCUUCAGUUUUACUUAUGUCAAUAAAGUAAAGUUUUACAGAAAUUAAGUGUAGAGAUUCACCAUCUUUUCAGAGUAUGUUUGUCACUCAUGCUUUAAGAUGUUUUCAUCUUUCAGUUUAUUCCAGCCUAUUAGUGAGUCUACUUACACCUAGCAUGCAUGUUUUAAGAUUACGUAUGAAUUUAGUUUUAGUUAUUACAUUGACCACUGCAUACUCAAUAUAUUCGAGAAGUACCAAUCCAUAUUUACGUCUAUGUGGAUACAUUAUUUCAUAAUGUAGGUACCAUUUGUAGCCCGCACAUCACGAUUAGACAGUUGCAAAUUUCAAUUAGCAGGUGAUGAGUUGUUCUAAUUUGGGAACUCUAAAUAGUUUUAGUUCAUGUACAAUUUAUUUAUUUUCAUAUGUAUUGAUUAGUGGUAGUUGGAGGCGUGUCCCAGCAAUCUAUAGCCAGUAUAGUAGAGGCUUCAUAGAUGUCAGUCAGAGUCAGUCAUGUAUAUUUUAGAAAUGACUAAGUCCCUAAAACUUAGUGAUAUUUUCAGGACUUAAGCCCCUUAUGCAUGCAACUAGAAGCUGAACUGAGCUAGGAAUAAUACAGGAUAUUACAACUUUGUUUGAUCUCGGUUUAACAUUUUCGUAUGUGUUUGCUUAUUUUGCAACAUUGUUGGGUUACGGUCAGAGUGCUUAUCUGUGCCACUGUGUUUAUUCUCAUAGGUCAUUCUUUACCAGUGGAUCGGGUGUAUAGAUCUUGUUUGGUGACUGUUUGGGAGUUUGAUACUCAAAUUGAUCUCAUUAUCCUAGAUAUGGUAGAUUUUGAUGUGAUUCUAGGCAUGGAUUGUCUAUCUCCUUACUAUGCGGUCUUGGAUUGUUUUGCUAAGACCGUAACCUUAGCCUUGCCUGACGUACCCCCAGUUGUGUAGAUUUGCUCUGUUAGUUGCAUACCAACGAGGAUUAUUUGUUACAUUUGGGAUAGGAGACUGAUAUUGGGGGGUUGUGAGUCAUUUCUUGCAUUUAUUUCUUACACGAUCCGAACUCGAGCCUUGCCGUGUCAGGUAUCUCAAGUCCAACCAGGACCGGAGAUCACCCCCAAUACCCAAACCAUCGCCUACCUUACACCAUACGUUUGAUGAAUUCUAAACAUAUAACAAUAUAUGAGAAUUUCAAUAAGGAAAAAAAUAAACCAUUAAAAUAAGUCUAUAACCAAAACCAACCGUUUCAAACCAAACAUACAACAAAUACCGAUACCAAUGCUAGCAUCAAUAUAAACACCGCCCAUGUCCCAGUAGUUCGACAAAGCCUCUAAUCAAAACCAUAGAAUAUUCGGUCGGGACAUGCCCUCGACCAUAGUCAAAACUUAGACCAAAGGAAUAGUAAAGUCAGAAAGUAAUCCAUAGAAUGAAAUGGAGUCGUUCAAAGUAUGGAAACUCACCACUUCAUUCUGACUCAAAAGUUAUCCUCGAAUCACCUAGUUACUGAGCAGAAGGAGAAUAAGUAUGACCAAUUCUUGCAUUGCAUGGGGAUACAACGUACGAAAAUAGUUAGCGGGGUGAACGGUAGCAUGAAACUCAGGAAUAAGGAUAACAUAAUGAUAUGAUCAAUAGUUUAAAAUCAUUCAAAGGCCAACUCACUUAAACAAAUGCAAAUACAUAUUUAUAUAUAUCACAUGUUGAGAUAAGGAACAAGGCUUAACGUGCUUUUCAAAAUCUUAACCUGGAUUUGUAUCUCAAUCGUCAUAUAAUAGUAUCCAUGGGCUAUAUGGGCUAGCUCUUACCCCUGGUCAGGCCCCAGUGCAUGUAACCGCACGAACUGAAGAAUAAUCUCAUAUAUAUGCACAUUAGGGACUCGAACCCUCAAACAUAUACCAAGGUGACUUAAGAACCAACUCAUAUAAUGAUUUACUGGGGACUCGAACCUCCCUAAUCAUGAAAUAAUUAUAAGGGGAAUUCGAACCUCCCUGGUCACUUUGACCCCUACAUUAGCAAACGCAGUUUCCAGUAUCAGUCACUUGGACCUCCACUUUCACAACUCAGCUACACAACCCCAAUUAGAGCCCAAUUAAAAUAGUUGUCACACAUUCCCAUUCAAUGAACCAUGAUACCUAUUUAGGCAUACGUUGUUAGUAUCAUCAUACCAACAAUACUUGCAAGUUAACACAUCAUGCCAAAACAACUUCCACUAACUUAGGGAGAACAACUCCUUCUGGUCAUUAAUACAGAUUGGGGAAACACCGACUCCCUUUGUUAAUUAAAUCAUACAAUUGUAUUUCUAAUAUUUCUAAAUAUCAUCCAUUAGUUCAUGACUAGUUCAGUUUUUUAAAAUUUUCAUAGUUCUCAUAACUAAAACCAAUUUCACAUUAUAGGGUUGGGGUUAUAACCACUUCAGAAGUCACAAGUUUGGGAAAGUCACAAUUCCCUAGUUCAUUCACUAUACCCAUGCACCCAAAAGUUCAAAACCAUAUUAAAAGCAUGAAUAUAUAUAUAUAUAUAUAUAAACCAUGGGAAACAUUGUUCAAUUCAUAACAUUCAAAAACUCCCAACCUUUGUUUUCAAAAACCAUAACAAUAACCUUAUGAACAACACUCUAAAUUACAUGAUUUUUUAAAAAUUAAAAAUGAGGAAAGAGUAACAUGCCUUAAUUAACUAAGAAGUACAGAGAGAAAUCACCCUUGAAAUCCCUAAUUGAUCAACCUUUGAAAACCCUAAGUGUUUUUGACCUUGAGAAUUUGGGAGUGUUAUGAGAUAUGUUUCUAAGAGCAAAUGAUGCCUUAAGAAAGUUAUAAGAUGUGGGUUUUUAAGUUGGACAAGAGGGAAAAUGUCUAGAAUGCCCUUAACAUAAUAGUUGGAAAGAAUCAUCUUUAGCUAUGAGUCAACGCAUUGACUUGUACCCAUACCUUACAACUCAUGACCACGAGUUACAACUAAGACACUGACUAGGACCCCCAUACACUGCCCACCUUACGACUCCACCAACCCACUUAUAAGAAGAUCUUAGACUCGUAAGGUCUAGUCAUGAUCAACACAGAGCACAAAAAAAUUAAACACUGAACAUCUUACGAUUUGAACCUACAACUCAUAAUAUAUCCUCACUACUCAUAGUGAGCCACUUAUAAUUAGAGCAGAACCUUUCCAUUAAGUUUUUAUUUUUAUUACGACUAGGUUAUUACGAACCAUAACCAAAACUCAUGACUUGUCAUAGUAAGUCGUGACUAAGAUAGUGAGCCCAAAACUCAAUAAUUUUCAAGGGCUAAAAAGUUGGUGUUUUACAUUCUCUCCCAUUUGGAUCAUUCAUCCUCACAUUAUAGGUCAAGGCAACACAAGCACGAUUGGACUCAAUAUACCUCCACUUUUACUACCCCUGGUCAGGCCCCAGUGCAUGUAACCGCACGAACUGAAGAAUAAUCUCAUAUAUAUGCACAUUAGGGACUCGAACCCUCAAACAUAUACCAAGGUGACUUAAGAACCAACUCAUAUAAUGAUUUACUGGGGACUCGAACCUCCCUAAUCAUGAAAUAAUUAUAAGGGGAAUUCGAACCUCCCUGGUCACUUUGACCCCUACAUUAGCAAACGCAGUUUCCAGUAUCAGUCACUUGGACCUCCACUUUCACAACUCAGCUACACAACCCCAAUUAGAGCCCAAUUAAAAUAGUUGUCACACAUUCCCAUUCAAUGAACCAUGAUACCUAUUUAGGCAUACGUUGUUAGUAUCAUCAUACCAACAAUACUUGCAAGUUAACACAUCAUGCCAAAACAACUUCCACUAACUUAGGGAGAACAACUCCUUCUGGUCAUUAAUACAGAUUGGGGAAACACCGACUCCCUUUGUUAAUUAAAUCAUACAAUUGUAUUUCUAAUAUUUCUAAAUAUCAUCCAUUAGUUCAUGACUAGUUCAGUUUUUUAAAAUUUUCAUAGUUCUCAUAACUAAAACCAAUUUCACAUUAUAGGGUUGGGGUUAUAACCACUUCAGAAGUCACAAGUUUGGGAAAGUCACAAUUCCCUAGUUCAUUCACUAUACCCAUGCACCCAAAAGUUCAAAACCAUAUUAAAAGCAUGAAUAUAUAUAUAUAUAUAUAUAAACCAUGGGAAACAUUGUUCAAUUCAUAACAUUCAAAAACUCCCAACCUUUGUUUUCAAAAACCAUAACAAUAACCUUAUGAACAACACUCUAAAUUACAUGAUUUUUUAAAAAUUAAAAAUGAGGAAAGAGUAACAUGCCUUAAUUAACUAAGAAGUACAGAGAGAAAUCACCCUUGAAAUCCCUAAUUGAUCAACCUUUGAAAACCCUAAGUGUUUUUGACCUUGAGAAUUUGGGAGUGUUAUGAGAUAUGUUUCUAAGAGCAAAUGAUGCCUUAAGAAAGUUAUAAGAUGUGGGUUUUUAAGUUGGACAAGAGGGAAAAUGUCUAGAAUGCCCUUAACAUAAUAGUUGGAAAGAAUCAUCUUUAGCUAUGAGUCAACGCAUUGACUUGUACCCAUACCUUACAACUCAUGACCACGAGUUACAACUAAGACACUGACUAGGACCCCCAUACACUGCCCACCUUACGACUCCACCAACCCACUUAUAAGAAGAUCUUAGACUCGUAAGGUCUAGUCAUGAUCAACACAGAGCACAAAAAAAUUAAACACUGAACAUCUUACGAUUUGAACCUACAACUCAUAAUAUAUCCUCACUACUCAUAGUGAGCCACUUAUAAUUAGAGCAGAACCUUUCCAUUAAGUUUUUAUUUUUAUUACGACUAGGUUAUUACGAACCAUAACCAAAACUCAUGACUUGUCAUAGUAAGUCGUGACUAAGAUAGUGAGCCCAAAACUCAAUAAUUUUCAAGGGCUAAAAAGUUGGUGUUUUACAUUCUCUCCCAUUUGGAUCAUUCAUCCUCACAUUAUAGGUCAAGGCAACACAAGCACGAUUGGACUCAAUAUACCUCCACUUUUACUGUUAACUAAGUUAGAAAAAAAGAUGCUGAGGAUAACACAUACAUUAUACAUGAUUUUAUGGUGCAGAAAAAAAAUGAAUACUUGGAUUUCAUGUCCUCUUCUGCUUCCCAAGUAGCCUCUUCAACCUUAUGUUACCUCCACAGAACCUUUACCAAAGCUACAUCGUUCGUCCGCAAUUGAUGAACUUGCUAAUCCAAAAUUUCAACCAGGACUUCUUUAUAAGACAAGGAAUCUGAAAUACCAACAUCCUUUAUAGGCACAAUCUGCGAUGGAUCACCCACAUACUUUCUCAACAUUGACACGUGGAACACCGGGUGAAUACAACUUAAAUUGGAAGGCAACUCUAACUCAUAGGCAAUGCUUCCACCCUUAUUCAAAACUAAGUAAGGGUCUAAUACUGGGGGAUGAGUUUCCCCUUCUUCCCAAAUCACAUUACUCCCUUCAUGUUAGCCUUUAAGAACACCCAAUCACUAAUCCGGACUCCAACUCCCUACGCCUCACAUCUAUAUAGGACUUUUAGCAAGUUUGGGUUGCUUUAUGUCUAUCCCAAAUGACCUUUACCUUCUUCAUCGCUUGAUAAAACAAAUUUGGACCAAACAUCUCCACCUCACUAACCUCAAACCACCCAAUGAGAACAAUACCUCUUACUAUACAAUGCCUUAAAAGAAGCCAUACCAAUGCUAGAGUGAUUACUAUUAUUAUACGCAAACUUAAUAAGAGGUAAAUGAUCGACCCAACUACCACCAUAGACAAUCACGCAAGAUCGACAGCUAUCUUCCAAGACUUGAACCAUCCUUUCCACUUGUACAUUCAUCUGUAAGUGGAAAACAGUACUAAGGAUCACCUUAAUUACCAAAGCUCUCUGAAACUAAUGCCAAAAAAUGCAUGAUAAUUGAGUACCGUAAUAUGAUAUGAUAGAAAUAGGCACCCCAUAUGACUUCACAAUCUCUUGAUGGAAUAUCUUCGCAUAAUACUCCACUGAAUAAUUAGUCCUUACUGGCAAAAAGUGAGCAGGCUUGGUCAUUCUAUCCACAAUGACCAAAAUUAAAUCAAACUAAUUCUAAGAAUGAGGAAGACUGGUAACAAAAUCCAUAUUAAUUACUAACCACUUCCAUACAGGAAACUCAAUCUCUUGAUACAACCCUUCAGGCCUCAGGUGCUCAACCUUAACUUAUUGACACACAAUGAAUUUAGCCAUAAAACUUGACACAUCUCACAUCAUAUUGUUCCACAAAUAAAUCUCCUUAAGAUCAUGAUACAUCUUUAUCAAACCAAGAUGAAUGACGUAACGUGACUCAUGAGCCUCAGCCAUGAUCAUCUCUCUCAACCCAUCUACAUCAGGAACACAUAAUCUGCCUUUGUACCUCAAGAUACCAUUACCACUGAUCUCAAAAGCUACAACUUGUUGAUGACCCUAAUCUCCCUGAAUCUUUGUUAAGAUAGGAUCCAGUACCUACGUUUUCUUUAUUUUAGCAGCAAGGGAUGACUUAGACACUUCUUGUACAAAUACACCACCAUCCUCAAAGUCUAAGAGAUGAACUACAAGGUUAGCCAAACUAUGGAUAUCCUUCACUAAUUCCCAUUUCUCUUUAUCUACAUGAGCUAGACUCUCCACAGAUAACCUGCUAAGAGCCUCAACAACUACAUUAGCAUUUUCUAGGUGAUAAUGGAGACUAAUGUCAUAGUCCUUCAGCAACUUAAGCCACCUCUUUAACCUAAGAUUCAACUUUUUUUAGGUGAAAAUAUAUUGUAGGUUCUUAUGAUCUAAAAAGAUAUCCAAAUGAACUCCAUACAAAUAGUGAUACUAGAAAUUUAACACAAACACCAGAACCAAUAACUCUAGGUCAUGAGUUGGGUAAUUCUUCUCAUGAACUUCAAACUUCCUAGAAGCAUAGGCCACCACCCUACCAUGCUGCAUCAACAUAUAACCAAGUCCCAUAUGGGAUGCAUUACAAUAGAUAAAAAAACCAUCAGCACCUUUAGGCAGAUUCAAAAUAGGAGAUGAAGUCAACUUAUCUUUAAAAUUCUAAAAACUACCCUCACAAGUGAUCUGAGAUGGAUUUAUGCAUGUCAGUGUUGUUAUCCUACCUUAUUUAUCCUUAUUUUAAGGACAACUAAUGUGAUUAAUGGGUUAAUAUUGACAUAAAAAAACAUAUAAGUGUUUAAGUAUGUGAUUACAAUUCUUAAAGGUGUUUUCAAACAAGAUUGGAACCAAUUUGGUCAUUUAGUGUUCAAAUCAGAAACUAGUGUUACUAGCUUGAGCUAGGUGUCGUUCUAGUGUAUCUCGAUGGAUUAAGUUGUGUUUCAUGAGUUUGUAAUGGUAUGACUGUGUAAUUAUGUAUGGAAAAACUUGUUUCUAAUGUUCAAGGUUCAAUUGAACAGAGCCAAGAGUCAAAAUAAUAAAUUAAAGAUCAAUGUGGGCAAGCCUAGUCUUAGCUUGAGUUUCUAGUUCACUGUUCUUGAUAUUGUGUUGGUGUGAGCUCUAAUCUAUGGUGUACGAUAAUGUACGAUGUUUAGUGAGUUGAUUUAGAUGAUAUACAAAGGAUAUACAAGAUUUACAUGAAAUAUAAACAACACCACAAGGCUUGGUAUGGAGGAUAAAUGCACAAAUAAAGUUGGACGUCAAAAGUGAAAUUAUAGUGAAGCCUCGUGUUGAGAUAGUAUCACGACUUUCACUCCACAUUUGCAGGACUUACAUCAUGAACUCCUCACCACCUUUUUAGGCCUCACAUUGUGACUCCAUCCUCAAGAUCCUGCCAAAUGCGUCGCACCAUCCAUUCCACACACGACCAAAUGCCUUUGCUUAUAAGUAGGACUUAUUUACUAGUUGUUUGACACCAUGGACGUCUUGGAUCUUUGGAGAGGGGUUGAUAAACACUUAUUUUAGGAUUUAUAUCUCUUUAUUUUAGCUUUUUAAGGUAUUAUAUCAUUUAUUCAAUUAAUUUGAUUACGGUUAUGUCUAUUAGCGGCUAAACACCCCCUUUCUGGGGUUAAGGCCAAACACAUGUUUACUUUUGCUUUGAAUUUAGUUUUUUUGGAUUUAUAUCAUAUUUGGUUGUUUUUUUUAUCCUUAUUAUCACUAUUUUAAGGAUUCACAACCCUUAGAAUACAUAUAUUGUCGACCUUGCAAACUCAGGAGGGUGAAUAGGAAGAUAGAACAUGGGGAUAGAUAGAGUAAGGUUCUUAUUCUUUAUGAAAUAAGGAAUUUGAAUUAGCAAAUAGGAUAGAGAUAUACCUAUAAGCCUUGCUUGGUUCACAUUUAGGAUAAUAUCUUAAUUCAUCUAAUUAGAUUAUUACAUCCUCGCUUAAUAAAGUUGUUGUAAUGACCGGUUAGGUAGAAGGUUUGAGUUCUGGAGACCAUGAUCAUAGGAUAAUCCCUAUGAGUGAACGGCCAAGAUAAGUAAUCUAACGAACGAAGAUAAACCCUAUGAGUCAACGACCAAGAUAAGUAAUCUAACAAACGAAGUUCAAUAGCAUAGUAUGAUUGUUCAAAGUGCUUUUACCCUGGGUUUUCAUCCAUUGAUUGUCCAAAGUCUUUACCUGUCUGCAUUACUUUAGUUUACUUUUAAUUAUAACUUUCAAUACUCCGUUGGUUACGAUUACACUAUUUAAUCUCAAUUGUUAACUAGAAUUGGAUAGUUUCUUAACACAAGUCUCUGAGGGAUCGAUAUUCGGCCUUAUUUGAGGCCACUGUAUUACAUGGUGAGACCAUGUACGCUUUCAUUAUACUUGGGAGCGAUCAAGUUUUGGUGCCGUUGUUAGGGACUUAUAAAUUAGCAACUAUUUUUGUCUUAGUUUUACUUUUUAGAUUUCUUUGGUGCAUUACUCUUGGACUUGGUAUUGAAUUUGUAUGAAAUAGGUUUGCGGAUUAGUAAGUUGGCAAGGGAUAGAGAUUUCGUAGAACCAAUUCCCAAACCAGAGAAACGCUUUCAUCAAUAAAGGAGAGAAGUAAUCUAUCUACCCCAUAUCUCACAAUUUCAAGAGGAACAAGACAGUCCUUCUCUAAUGGCUGAAGAUCAACCAUCCUGCAGAAUAGUUUGAGAAGCGGUGAUCCCACUUCUAACAAAUUUGGCCUUCCCUUUUCAGAAACCACUUAAUAGAGGUAACUUUAAGCUGAAACAGAACAUGGUGCAACUUUUGAUCAGCAGUGGACAGUUUAUGGGUCUUUCACAUGAAAAUCCACAAGUCCAUUUGCAAUACAUCCUUGAGAUCAGUGACACCUUUAUCCCUACGGGUGUGUCAACUAAUUAUGUUUGGCAGACAAUAUUCCUCUUUUCACUAGUAGGGGAAGCAAAGAAGUUGUUGAACGCUGAGCCGGCAAGUUCAAUUACAACUUGGGAUAACUUAGUCCAGAAAUUCCUCAUUCGAUUUUCCAUCUGGCAAGACUAUGAGACUGUGCAAUGAGAUUGUUUACAUCAAACAGAAGCCAGAUGAGAACUUAUAUAAUGCAUGGGAGAUAUUCAAAGCCCUUUUUCAGGACUGUCCACAUCAUCAACAGUCCCGUAGGGUAGUGCUCAAAAUUUUGUCGAGGCACUUGAUCAUAACACAAAAAUUUUACUAGAUUCAGCAGCAGGUGGUCAAGAAUUGGAAUUGAUGUAUGAUGAGUUGUAUACCUAUUGAACCGAAUCGCUCAAGGAAAUCUUGAAUGGUAUUCAAACUCAAGAAAUGAUACAAAGAAGAUUGCAGGUGUGUUGUAAGUGGACCAGUUUACUGCUUUAUCUACCCAGAUUACUGCACUGCAAAAAUUAGUUGAAUACUAAGUUCAAAAAUAUGAUGUUGGGGGUUACACAUCCUGUAGCAAUAAUGAAUGCAAUUCAACAGACAAGUACUUUAUGUGUGGUCCAUGGCAAUAAAGACCAUUUUAUAGAUAUUUGUGUUGCCAAUCCUGAGUCACUGGUGUUUGUGGGAAAUGUUCAAAGGCUGAAUUUUGGGAACGCCAACAAUUUAAAGCGGUAGACUCAGCCACCAAAUAAACCAUGGAACACUCAACAACAACAGUUUCAGUAGUAAUAGGUUCAACGGAAUAGGCUACUAGAAAUAUGGAAGAGAUGUUGAUACAAAUUUUAGCUUUUUUAGAAUAAUUAAAAAAGAUAUAAAGAUCCAACAAGAAGAUAUGAAGAGCCAACAAGCAACUACGAGGAACUUGGAGUUGCAGAUAGGUCAGCUAGAAGUAAGACAAAAUAGCAGGCCUCAGGGUGGUUCGCUAAAUAAUACUGAAAAUCCUAAAAAAGUAAUGAAAAUACUUUGAGGAGUGGUUAAAAUCUGAAUGAAAAACCUCUAAAGAAAACUAAGGAGGUAGAUGCUGAUUUAGUUCCUAAAUAGGUAGAUGACCAAUCGGCUAAAAAUUUGAGGAAGUCUAAGUACUAGAAAAUUAAAGUUGCUGAACAGGUGAUGCAGAGACUGCUACCACUGUUCGCAUAAAGACUUAUAAAAGCAAAGGAGGAUGCAUGCUUCAAGAAGUUCUUUGACAUGUUCAGAGAGCUUCACAUUAACUUUCUUAUUUUAGAUGUUUUACAGGGUAUGCUCAAGUAUUCUAAGUAUUUGAAGGAUGAGGUCACUAACAAAAUUAAGUUGCAGUAUAAUAAGACAGUACCACUCACUAAAGAGUGCAACUCUAUGGUGAUGUAGAAGAUGCUUAAAAAGAUCAAAUAUCAUGGAAGAUUCACCCUCCCUAUUUAAAUUAGCAAUAAUGAGGUGGUCCAUGCACUGAGUGAUUUGGGGGUGAAUGUCAACUUGAUGGCCCUAUCUUUAUUUAACAAGAUGGGACUAGGAAAGCCGAGACCAAGCACUGUAAUACUUCAAAUAGCAAACCAGAUAAUAUCCCAUCUCAAAGAAAUCAUAGAGGGUGUUCUCGUCAAGGUUGGUAAGCCUAUUAGUCCUAUUUAUUUUAGUGUUUUGGAUUUAAAGGUCGAUCAAAGAAUGCCAAUCAUCUUGGGAUAACUAUUUUUGGUAAUGAGAGGGGCUUUGAUGGAUGUGAGAGAGAGUAUGCUCAUAAUGAGGAUGGAUGAUGAAGAGGCAGUUUUCUGUGGAGUCUAUUCCAUAGAAGACCUCUUUAAACUUCCUGAUUGAGCAGCCCAUGACUCAAAUAUCUAAGCCCAAAAUAAUGUAGAUUGAUGAGACUAAAAAGGCUAUUGUUAAGAGAGUUGUUGACCUUGAGAUUUCACACUCAAGAGUUUAGGAAUGAAUAAGAAGAUGGAGUCUGAGUGCAAGGAAGAGGUUGAAGGAAAAUGGAUAAUCUGCAUAUUAGGUCAUGCCAAGACACUAAAUCAGGUGCUUCUUGGGAGACAACCUAAGUUAAGGUAUGUUUUAUUUUAGCUUUUUAGAUUUUACUUCACAAUUUUUUUUUGUUGAGUCACAGGUUGAUGAGAAGUCUUAGUACCAAAAAACCUGAGCUAAGGAGCAUGGCAAAGACUAAGUGUGGGCUCCAGUAACCUCUUUGAUGUAUUAGAUGUUAAUAGCUAGUCCUAAAGGCCUCAGGGAGUAUUUCUAUCUCUACUUUUAAGUAUACUUUAGGGACAAAGUAGAUUUUUAAGAGCGGAGAAGGGCAAUUCCCUAUUUUUGGAGCAAUUUAAUAGUUUUUAUGUUAGGAAUAAGUGUGUGAUGUUCUUGUUGGUGUUAUAUGUGAUUGUAUGAUGUAAGUGUUUUUGUUGAAAAAGCUUGUUGAUUAUGUGAAUUACUACUUUUGAGACUCCAAGGCUUAUUAUUAUGACUCUUGUCCUUGUUGACUUAAUGUCAAAUUUAUGUGAUUCCUUAGUUAAGAGUAUAUGAUGAUCCUACUUGAGUUGAGCAUGUUCCAUGUGUGUGUAAGUUUCUUGUAUAUUCCUUAUUAUACUUGAUAUCUAGAACUUGCCUGGUGUGUGCGCAAAGUGAAAUAAAGAGUGUGGGAUUAGGAUAUGAUUUAGGCAUUUCUUUGAUAUCCAUGUUUCAUAACUUUUUUUGACCUACCCUCAUGCAUAAUCCUAUUUAACCCCAUUAAGCCUUUAGCCUAUUUUCUUUGACAGCCUUAUUUAUAGCCUAAUUUCCUUUCUUGAUUGACCAUAAUUUUAUCCAAAGAUCUUAAGCGCUUUACUUGAAAUAUAAUUGAGUUAAGGAGUUGGAAGUUCAAGAAGAAAAAGAUAAAGUUGAAGCCCCUAGUAAUAGCUAUUGGUCUUAAAAAAAUUAUAUGUGUUGUGGUUGGGAGUCGAGUAAUGAAAAGAAUAAUUUUUUUUCAAGUUGAAUAAGUUGGGCAUAGAUAAUACUCUUACCAUAGUAUAUGUGAGUGACCUUAAUAAGAUGGAUCAAAACAAAAGAUAAGGGUUGACAGAAAUGUUGUAAUUAGGUUGUUAAAGGUGAAUUAGUUGUAUAAUGUGAUGUAUUAAAGUGCUUAGGGAAUAUAGUCAUUAUUACGGGCCAAAAUAGUUCUUCCCCGCCCCUUAGCCUACAUUACAACCCUUAAAGACCUAUUUGAUCCUAAGGUUCAUCAUUCUGAUAUUAGUGGAGUACUACACUAAGGACAAGCAUAUGGUUCAUCUUGUGUAACUUGUGAAUUUCUUUUUAGAAUGAGCACAAUUUGAUUCUUGUAGCCAUUCUGUGAUAAAUUGCUUUUGUGUGAGUAAUUAUGAGUACCUCUAUGAUUGUAAAAAAACAUGUUUAAUGAUAGUUGGGUGAAUUUUAUGAUGUCUUUUAUUGAACAAUAUGUAUGAGUUCCAAUUAGGUGAGUCAAUUCUUUAGGCUAGGAUAUUUUGAUGUAGUGUUCUUGAAAUUUCAAUUGUAUUUGUAACAAGCUUAGUGUAGAAACUUGCAUUCUGUGUAGUCAUUGCAGUACUAGCUUGAGUGUCUUUCUUGUAGUAUAAGUGUAGGGUCACUUCAGCGUAUGAUACUUAGAGUAAAAAGUUGUUUAACGAGGAACAAGGUUUUAAGUUUGGGGUGAUGAUCUGUGGUGGAUUUAUGCGCCUUAGUGUUGUUAUCCUAGCUUAUUUAUCCUUGUUUUGAGGAAAACUAGUGUUACUAAUGGGUUAAUAUGGGCAUAAACAAUAAUAUAAGUGUUUAAGUAUGUGAUUACAAUGUUAAAAGGUGUUUUCACAAAAGUUUGGAACCAAUUCGGUCAUUUAGAGUUCUAAUGAGAAAACUAGUGUUACUAGCUUAAGCUUGGUGUUGUUCUAGUCUAUCUCGAUGGAUAAUAAUGUGUUUAAUGAGUUCCUAAUGGUAUGAGUUUGUAAUUAUGGGUGUAAAAACUUUUUUAUAAUGUUCAAGGGUCAACUGAAUCAAGCGAAGAGUCAAAACAUUAAGUUAAAAAUCAACAUGGGCAAACAUAGUCUUAGCUUGAGUUUCUAGUUCACCGUUCUUGAUAUUGUGUUGUUUUGAGAUGCAAUCCAUGGUUUAUGAUGAUUUAAUAUGCUUGGUGAGUUUAUUUCUAUGAUAUAAUAAGGAUAUAAAAGAUGGAUAUGAAGAGGAAACAACACCACAAGGCUUAGGAUAGAGGACAAAUGCACAAAAUAAAUUUGGAUGUCAAAAAUGAAAUUCCAGUGAAGCCUCGCUUUGAGAUCGCAUCACGACCUCCACUCUACCUUUCCAGGACUCACUUCACGAAUUCCACUCAACCUUUAUAGGCCUUGCGUCAUGACCCCAUCUCCAAGAUCCUGCCCAACACGUCGUACCACCCAUUCCACACUGGGCCAAACACCUUUGCUUAUAAAUAGGACUCAUGUAUUAGUUGUUUGAAACCUUGGAUGUCGUGGAGCUUUGUAUAGGGACUGAUAAAAAAUUAUUUUAGGGUUUAUAUCUCUUUACUUUAGUUUUUUAAUGGAUUAUAUCAUGUAUUCAAUUACUUUGAUUACGGUUAUGCCUAUUAGUGGCUAGACUCCCCCUUUCAGGGGUUAAGGCCAAGAACAUGUUUCUUUAGCUUUGAAUUGAGUUUGUUUGGAUUUAUUAUCAUAUUUUUUUUGUUUUUUAGUUGACCCUUAGAAUACAUAAAUUGUCGACUUUGUAAACUCAGGAGGGCGAAUAAGAAGAUAGAACAUGGGGAUAUAUAGAGUAAGGUUCUCAUUUUUUUAUGAAAAAAGGAAUUUGAAUUCGAAAAUACAAUAGAGAUAUUCAUAAUAGCCUUGAUUGUUCACAUGUAGGAUGAUAUAUUAAUGCAUCUAAUUAUAUUAUUACAUCCUUACUCAAUGAUGUAGUUUUAAUGUCCAGAUAGGUAGAAGGUUAGAGGUUAGGAGACCAUGAUCAUACCAUAAACAGUACGAAUCAACAACCAAGAUAAGUAAUCUGACGAGCGAAGUUCAAUUGUGAUUAUUUGUAGUACUUUAACCCUUACUUUUCAUCCAAUAAUUGUCUGAAGUCUUUACUUGUCCGCAUUGCUUUAGUUUACUUUUAGUUAUAACUUUCAAAACUCUUUUGGUUACGAAUUCACUAGUUAAACUAGAAUUGGAUAGUUUCUUAACACAAGUCUCUGAGGGAUCAAUUUUCGGCUUUAUUUGAGGCCACUAUAUUACUUGGUGAGACCACAUACACUUGCGUGUGCGCUUGGGUGCAAUCAAAUUUUUUACGCCGUUAUCAGGGACUUGUAAUUAGCAACUAUUUUUGCUUUAGUUUUACUUUUUAGAUUUCUUUGGUGCUUUACUCUUGGUCUUGGUAUUGAAUUUUUAGGAAAUAGGUUUGCAGAGUAGUAAGUUGGCUAGGGAUACAGAUUUGGUUAAACCAAGCCCCAAACCUGAGUAAUGCAUCCAUCAACGAAUGAGAGAAGCAAUCCUUCUCCCUCAUAUCACAUAAUUUAAAGAGGAACAAGACAAUUAUGCUCUAAUGACUGAAGAUUAACCAGCCCGCAAGACAGUUUGAGAAUUAGCAAUCCCACUUCCGAAAAAUUUGACCCCCCCUUUUUUGAAAUCGGCUGUAGGAGGUAACUUUGAGCUGAAACAGAACAUGGUGCAACUUUUGAUUAGUAGUGGACAGUGUAUGGGGCAUUCACAUGAAGAUCCAUAAAUCCAUCCAUGGAACUUCCUUAAGAUCAGUGACACAUUCAUCCCUAUGGUUGUGUCAACUAAUUAUGUUAGGCUGGCAUUAUUCCCCUUUUCACUGUUGGGGGAACCGAAUUAGUGGUUGUACACUGAGCUGGUAAGUUCAAUCACAACUUUGGAUAAAUUAGCUCAAAAAUUAAUCAUCUGAUUCUUUUCAUCUGGCAAGACUAUGAGACUGUGUAGUGAAAUUGUGUGCUUCAAACAAAAGCCAGAUGAGAACUUAUAUCAUACAUGGGAGACAUUCAAAGCCCUUCUUUGGGACUAUCCACAUCAUCAAUAGUCCAAUGAGAUACUAGCUCACACUUUUAUUGAGGCACUUGAUCACAACAUGAAUAUUUUUCUAGAUUCAGCUGCAGGUGGUCAAGCAUUGGAAUUAACGUAUGAUAAGCUCUAUGCCUUGUUGAACCAAAUUUCACAAAGGAAUCCUGAAUGGCAUUUGGACUUAAGAAAUGCUACAAAGAAGGUUGCAAGAGUAUUAGGGUAGGACCAAUUUAUUGCUAUAGCUGCCUUACUUGUUGCACUGCAAAAUUAGUUGAAUACUUAGUACAGAAAUAUGAAGUUGAAGGUUACAUAGCCUGCAGCAAAAGUGAAUGUAAUUCAACAGAUAAGUACUUGGUGCGUGUUUUAUGGCAAUAGCGACCAUUUUGUAGAUAUGUGUGCUACCAGUACUGAGUUAGUGAUGUUUGUGGGAAGUGUUAAAAAGUCGAAUUAUAGGAAUGCCUACAAUUUAAAGUGGAAGACUCAGCCACCAAAUCAACUAUGGAAUGCUUAACAACAACAGUUUCAGCAUUAAUAGGUUUAAGGGAAUUAGGCUACUAGUAAUAUGGAAGAGAUGCUGAUAUAAGAUUUUGCUUUUCAAGCAAAAUUGACAUCAGAUAUAAAGAUCCAUAUAGAAUAUAUGAAGAUAUAGCAAGCGGCUAUAAGGAGCUUUGAGUUGUGGAUAGGUAAGCUAGCUGCAAAAAAAAAUACCAAGCCUCAAGGUAGUUUUCCAAGUGAUAUUGAAAAUCCUAAACAAGUAAUGGUAAUCACUUUAAGAAGUGGUAAAGAGCUUAAUUCAGAACCUCCAAAGAAAAUUAAGGAGGUAGAUGCUGAUUUGGUUCCUAAACAGGUAGAUGACCAAGCUGCUAAAAAUUUGAGGAAGUUUGAGUACUCAAAAACAAAAAUUACUGAAUAAGUGAAGCAAAGACUACCACCACUGUUCCCGCAAAGACGUAGAAAAGCAAAGAAAGAUGCAUGCUUGAAGAUUUUCUUUGACAUGUUCAGAGACCUGCACAUUAACCUUCCUCUUUUAGAUGUAUUAUAGGGAAUGCCCAAGUACGCUAAUUACUUAAAGGAUGUGAUCACUAAUAAAGUUAAAGUGCAAUAUGAUAAGACCGUAGCACUCACUAAAGAGUGCAACUCUAUGGUAAUGCAUAAGAUGCAUCAAAAGAUCAAAGAUCAAGGGAGAUUCACCCUCUCUGUUUAAAUUAGAAUCAAUGAGGUGGUCCAUGAACUGAGUGAUUUAGGCAAAAAUAUCAAUCUGAUGCCCCUAUUAUUGUUUAACAAGUUGGGAACGAGAUAGCCGAUACCCAGUACUCUGAUACUUCAAUUGGAAAACCAAACAAUAUCUCACCCCGAAGGAAUCAUAUAGGGUGUUUUCAUCAAGGUUAGUAAGUUUAUAAUUCCUUUUAAUUUUAUUGUUUUGGAUUUUAAGGCUGAUCAAAGAAUGCCAAUCAUCUUGGGACAUCCAUUUUUGGUGACAAAAAGAGAUUUAAUAAAUGUGAGAGGGGGUACGCUUACAAUGAGGAUGGAUAACGAAUAGGUAGUUUUGAAGGUUUACAAACUGCUCAACACACUAUCCCACUAUAAUGAUUUAUGCAUGAUUACUGUGGUUGAAGGGGAUAAGUGUGGGGUGGUGGAGUUUAUUCCAUAGAAGACCUCUUCAGACUUCCUUAUUGAGUAGCCCAAGACUCCACCACCUAAGCCCAAAAUGAUGUAGAUUGAUGAGCUUGAAAAGGAUAUUGUUGAGAGAUUUGUUGAGCUUGAGAGUUCACACUCAAUAGAUUAGAAAUGAAUAAGAAGAUAGCAUCCAAGUGUGAGGAAGAGGUUGAAGGAAAAUGGAUAAGUUACAUAUUUGGUCUUGCCACAACACUAAAUUAGGCACUGCUUGGGUGACAACCUAAGUUAAGAUAUUUUUUAUAUUUAGCUUUUUAGUUUUUACUUCACUAGUUUUUAUUUUUGUUGAGUCACAAAUUGAUAGGACGUUUGAGUAUUAGAAAACCAGAGCUAAUGAGCACGGAGAAGACUAAGUGUGGGUCCCCAGACCACCUUAAAGUAUAAGAUGCUACUAUCUAGGCCUAGAGGCUUCAGGGAGUAUUUCUAUCACUAUUUUUAAGUAUAUUUUAUGGAUAAAGUAGAUUUUUAAGUGUGGGGUGGGUAAAUUCCCAGUUUUAGGAGUAAUUUAAUAUUUUUUAUGUUGGGAAUAAGUGUGGGAUGUUCUUGUUGGUUAUAUAUGUGAUUUCAUGAUGCAAAUGUUUUGGUUAAAAAAGCAUGCUGAUUAUGUGAAUUACUAAUUUUGAGAAUCCUAAGCUCAUGAUUAUGACUCUUGUACUUGUUGGAUUAAUGUUGAAUUCAUGUAUUGUUUAGUUAAGAGUAUAUGAUGAUCCUACUUGAGUUGAGCAUGUGCCAUGUGUGUAAGGUUUUUGUAUAUUCGUUGUUAUACUCGAUGUCAAGAAUUUGCCUGGUGUGUGCACAAAGCGUAAUAAAGAGUUUGUGUUGAGGAUAUGAUUUAGGAAUUUCUUUGAUUGCCAUGUUUCAUACCUUUCUCUAACCAACCGUCGUGCAUAAUCCUAGUUAACCUCAUUGAACCUUUAGUCUAUUUUCUUUGGUAGCCUCAUUUAUAUCCUAAUCCCCUUCUUUGAUUGAUGCUAAUUUGAUCCAAAGAUCUUAAGCUCUUUAGUUGAAAUUUAAUUGAGUUAAGAAGUUGGAAAUUCAAGAAGAAAAAGGUGAAAUUGAGAACCCUAGUAAUAACUAAUUCUAUUCAAAAAAAUGAUAUGUGUUGUGGUUGGGAAUCAAUAAUGAAAAGAAUAAAAAAUUAUUCAAAUUGAAUAAAUUGGGAUAGACAAUACUCCCACCAUAGUGUAUGUGAGUAAGCUUGAUAAGAUGGGGAAAAACAAAAGAUAAGGAUAGACAGAAGUGGUGUAAUUAGGUUGUUGAAGGUGAAUUAGUUGUAUAAUGUGAUGUAUUAAAGAUCUUAGGGAAGAUAGGCAUUAUUACUAGCCAAAAUAGUUCCUACUCGCCCCUUAGCCUACAGUACAACCCAUAAAGACCUAUUUGAUCUAAAGCUUCAUUAUUAUUAUAUUAGAGGAGUACUACACUAAGGACAAUAAUAUGGUUCAUCUUAUGUAACUUGUGAAUUCCUUGUGAGAGUGAGCGCAAUUUGAUUCUUGUACCUAUUAUGUGAUAAAUUGCUUUUGUGUGAGUAAUUAUAGGUAACUCUCAUAUUGUGAGGGAACAUGUUUAAUGACAUUUGGGUUAAUUUUAUGAUGUAUUUUACUGAACAAUAUGUAAGAUUUGCCAAUUAGGUGAGUCAAUUAUUGAGUCUAGGAUGUUUUGAAAUAGUGUUCUUGAACUUUCAAUUGUGUUUGUAACAUGCUUCGGGUAGAAACCUGCAUUCUGUGUAAUCUUUGUAGUACUAGUUUGAGUGUCUUUCUUGUAGUAGAAGUGGAGGGUCACCUCAGCAUAUGAUGCUUAGAGUAAAGAUUUGUUAGAGUAUUAACAAGGUUUUAAGUGUGGUGUGAUGAUCUGAGAUGGAUUUAUACGCCUUAGUAUUGUUAUCCUAGCUUAUUUAGCCUUUGAGGACAACUAGUGUUCUUAAUGGGUUAAUAUUGAUUUAAAAAAGCAUCAAGUGUUUAAUUAGGUGAUUACAAUGUUUAAAUAUGUUUUCAACCAAGUUUGGAACCAAUUUGUUUAUUUAGAGUUCAAACGAGAAAACUAGUGUUACUAUCUUAAGCUAGGUGUCGUUCUAGUCUAUAUCAAUGGAUUAUAAUGUGUUUAAUGAGUUACUAAUGGUAUGAUUAUGUAAUUAUGUGUCUAUAAACUUUCUUAUAAUUUUCAAUGGUCAAUUGAAUCAAUCCAAGAGUCAAAAUAGUAAGUUAAAGAUCAAUGUCGGAAGGCCUAGUCUUAACUUGAGUUUCUAGUUCACCAUCCUUGAUAUUGUGUCGUUUUGAGCUCUAAUAUUUGGUGUAUGAUGAUGUAUAAUUCUUGUUGAGAUGAUUUAGAUGAUAUAAUAAGGAUAUUCAAGCUUUACCUGAAGUUAAAACAACACCGCAAGACUUGGGAUAGAGGAUAAAUACACAAAAUGAAGUUGGACGUCAAAAGUGAAAUACCAGUGAAGCCUCGCGUUGAGCUAGCAUCACGACCUCCCCUCCACCUUUCAAGGCCUUGAAUAUCGACCUACACUCCACCUUUCUAAGCUUUUUUUCGUGACCCCAUAUCCAAUAUCCUGCCCAACGCGUCGCACCACCCAUUCCACACAUGGCCAAACGCCUUUCCUUAUAAAUAGAACUCGUGUACUAGUUGCUUGACACCUUGGACGUCUUGGAUCUUUUGAGAGGGGCUGAAAAAAAUUUAUUUUAGGGUUUAUAUAUAUUUACUUCAUCUUUUUAAUGGAUUAUAUCAUGUAUUAAAUUACUUUGAUUAUGGUUAUGUCUAUUAGAAGCUAAACGCCCCCUUUCCGAGGUUAAGGCCAAGAACAUGUUUACUUUCUCUAUGAAUUGACUUUGUUUGGAUUGCUUAUCAUAUUUGGUUGUUUGUUUAUCCUUGUUAUAACUAUUUUAAGGAUUUUUAACCCUUAGAAUACAAAUAUUGUCAACCUUGUGAACUCGGGAGUGGGAAUAGGAAGAUAGAAUAUGGGGAUAGAUAGAGUAAGGUUCUCAUUCUUUUAUGAAAUAAGGAAGUUGAAUUAGCGAAUAGGGUAGGGAUAUACCUAGAAUCCUUUCUUGGUUCAUUUGUAGGAUGGUAUCUUAAUGCAUAUAUUUGGAUUAUUACAUCCUUGCUCAAUGAUAUAGUUGUAAUGUCCAGUUAGGUAGAAGGUUAGAGGUCGGGAGACCGUGAUCAUACGAUAAACCCUAUGAAUCAACAACCAAGAUAAGUUAUCUAACGAACGAAGUUCCAUAGUGUAGUAUGAUUGUUCAUAGUGCUUUAGCACCGGGUUUUCAUCCAUUGAUUCUCCAAAGUCUUUACUUGUCUUCAUUAUUUUAGUUUACCUUUAAUUAUAACUUUCAAAACUCUGUUGGUUACAAUUGCACUAGUUAAUCUCAAUUGUUAAACUAGAAUUGGUUAGUUUCUUAAUAGAAGUCGCUGAUGGAUCGAUAUUAGGUUUUAUUUAAGGACACUAAAUUACUUGGUGAGACCAAAUACACUUGUGUGUGCGCUUGGGAACGAUCAACAAGAGUCAAACCAUAAAAACUUUACCUUUUUCUAGGUCAACUAAGUCAACAGGGUAGCUAUAGUCAAGAUAAUCUCCACAAAUCUCCUAUAGUAACCAGCUAAACCUAAGAAGCUCCAAAUAACGGUUGAAGUCGUAGGACUAAGCCACUUCUUAACCAUUGCAACCUACUGUGGAUCCACCAUGGUCCCUUCUCUAGAAAUGACAUGACCCGUAAAAGUAACAACUUUCAAUUAGAAUUCACACUUUUAAUACUUAGCAUACAAAUGUUGAUCUUUCAAGGUUUGUAACACAAUACAAAGGUGAUGGCAUGAUCAGUCUCACCCUUGGUUUACUCCAGAAUAUCAUCUAUAAAUACGAUGAUGAACAAAUCUAGAAACUAAUGGAAUACGCUAUUCAUCAAGUCCAUGAAUACCGUUGGGGCAUUAGUCAAACCAGAAGACAUGACUAAGAAUUCAUAAUGACCAUACCAGGUUCAGAAGGCAGUCUUAGGGAUAUCAACCUCCCUGAUCUUUAGCUGAUGAUAACUAAACCUAAUAUUAAUCUUAGAGAAACAUCUAGAACCUUGAAGCUGGUCAAACAAAUCAUCAAUUCGAGGAAGAGGAUACUUAUUCUUCCCUAUAACCUUAUUCAACUGAUGGUAAUAGAUGCACAUUCGAAGGUAACCAUCCUUCAUACAAACGAACAAAAUAGGAGCACCCCAAGAAGUCACACUAGGACAUAUAAAACCUUUGUUGAAGAGGUAUUUCAACUGCUCCUUAACCUCCUUCAACUCAGCUGGAGCCAUUCUAUAAGAAAAGAUAGAGAUAGGAUGAGUGUUCAAAACAAGGUCAAUCUAAAAAUCACUCUCCUUAACGGGAGGGACACCAGGAAGAUCGUCAGGAAAAAGCUAGGGAAAUUCACUAACAAUGGGAACGAAUGUCAAUAAAGGACCCUUUGAGUUUGAAUCUUUAACCCAGACCAAAUGAUAGUGAAAUCCCUUAGAAAUCAAUAUCCUAGAUUUAAGAUAUGAUAUGUACCUUCUCUUAGGAACUAGAUAACCCCCUUCUCACUCAAUGACCGAAUCAUUAGGGAAUUUAAACAUAACUUUACGGAUUCAACAAUCUAAGGAGAAAUAGAACAAAUAUAACCAAUCCAUCCCUAAUAUGACAUCAAAAUCGACUAUGUUUAACUCUGUCGAAUCUACCAGAGUUUUUCUAGCACAAACAGAUAACACACAAUCCCUAUAGACUCUUCUAGCAACCACAAAGUCACCCACCAGGGUUGAAAUAGAAAAAGUAUUAGGGAUAUACUCAGGAUCGAGACAAAAAUACACAGCCACAAAUGGGGUCACAGAAUAAAGAGUAGACCCUGGAUCAAGCAAGUAACACACAUCAUGAGAAAAAAGUCAUAAUAUACCAAUAAUAGCAUCGAGAGAUGUCUCAGAGUCCUAGCGGGUAGCAAGAGCAUAUAAGCAAUUUCGGCUAGUGCCUGUACCAGAAGUAGAAAUAGCACCCUUUGUUAAAGCUGAUGAAGUGGCAACAUGAAUCUUAUUUUCCCCCAAAGAAACCUUAGAAAGACCAUCUCUUUGCAAAUAAAUAGAGUAAUAAUAUUUAAAACACCUGUUCCUCCUUUAUUCAUAAAACUCAUAAUGCAUUUAACUGCAGAAUCUAUAAGGAGGGUCUGAUGGAGCGUACUAAGUAUCACCAGCCUAAGAUUAGGCACCCUAUGACCUAAACCCACUAUUCUACAAAAAACGACACUCACCUAGCAACUUUGGAUAAGGAUCACUAGCCAUGGAGUAGGAACCAGAACUUCCCCACUUCUUCUUAGACCACUAUCCACCAUGUCUACCACUCUGCUGUUGACCUCCACCCUGAUUAAAAAAUUUAAACUUCUUAUUCUGUCUUUCCCCUAUAUCUGCCUGCUACUUCUUCUCUUUCUCAACCUGUAGUAUAAAUAUAACCAAUCUAGAGAUAUCCAUAUUCUUAUUCAACAAGGUAGCCUUACUCUUUAGAAUCAAACCAGGGGACAAUCCAAAGGCAAACUUUAUCAUUCUAGCCCCCAUGCUAGACACUAACUCAUGAGCUUAUUAGGACAAUAAUGGAAUCUCAAGGCAUACUCCUUGAACGUUAUCCUACCUUGCUUAAGAUUAAAAAACUCUUUUGCUUUUGCCUUCCUCAACUCCUGAGGAAAGAAGAAGUCCAGAAAAGUAUUAGAGAAAUCAUCCCACAAUAUAAAUUCGGCAUCAUCUCCCCUAGACCAUUCCCAUUCCUCAUACCAUUAGUAGGAUACAUCCUCUAGUUAAAAGACAGUGAAUUCUACACCCUCCAUAUUAGUGGCAUGAAUAACACAAAAGAUUUUCUUCAUCUCUUUAAUGACACCAUGAGGAUACUCCUUAAGCUUAACACCAGUGAACACAGAAUGACUCAACCUCAUAAACUGGCCAACCCUUAUGGCCUCAAAAGAUGGGGUAACUAAAGCUACAAGCUCAGACUGAGAAGCUACUAACUUAGAUAACAUAUGAAUGGACAGACAAAAUUCUGCAUUCAACACAUCAUCCUGAGGAGCUCGAGGAGGAUUAGAGGGGACCAAUAGAACUGUGGGAGGGCAAUCAAGAACUGGAACCCUAGAUCAAGUCGUACCCCAUACGUAGGGCGUGUCCUAUAAGUGUUGUCCUCAAGCAGGACAGAUGAGUUUCCAUGAGCAUCAGAUCAUGAGGGAGGUAUGAUCUGUCAAGUGAAUAAAUGGGAAUUAGAGAGACUCAAGACCUUAAACUCUCUAGCUUAAAAUAGAACAUCAAGAAUGGAAAACAUUUCUAAAUAUCUCAUAGCCUCUUCUUUAUAGGUGUGGGGUGCACUAUACACCCAUAAAAGAUGCUCUUCUCUCUAUGACUUUUGUCGAACUACUGACCAUGAACCUAGUGCUCUGAUAUUAAUCUGACAUGACCUAAACCCGAGCUUGGCCGUGUCGGGUAAAUCAAGUCCAACUAGGAUUGAAGACUAAUAUCUCCUAAAACUAACCUCCAAAAGAAGUUUUCUAUGGUCGAUACCAAAUAUAGAAACCCAACUAGGUUGGGGAUCGAUCCCAUAGGGAAAACAUUGAACAAUUGCUUAACUUGAUGUAAUCCACGAGAAGUGCAGAAAAGUAAAUGUGAUAUUUAGAAGUAAUCAGUAAAUAGUAGCAGAAUCUUGAUUGUUUUGAGUUGUAAACAAUAGAAGAAGAACACUAGGCUUGUGGUCCCCCUGGAUUCUCAACUUCAUAAAUUUCUCGUGUUUAACCCACAUAUUCUGUAGCUUUGAAAGUCAACAAGAUAUGUAUUAUUAACAAUCUUGUGAACAUGUUGAUAAAUCUCACCCUUUACUUUGUGAGUCUCAGGAUGUCACCUUAUUUCUCCUUAUCAUGAUUUCAGUUCAACUUUUACCUUUUGAGUCUAAGAUGAUUAGAUGAGAUGAUGGAAUGAUAACAAGAUGGAAUUGAAUCUCAACUUACUGUCUUAAUCCUCUUUUUCUAAUCAUAAUAUCCCUUAUGAGGAUGUUUGUAAAUACAAGCUAUCCCCAAGCUAUUGUAUUAUCUAUGAGGUCAAUUAUUGUGAAGAAGAUUAAGAUACAUGUAUAAAUCCUAGAAUAUAUCAAUCUCACACUUUCUUUACGUAGCUAAUUUGCAGGGUUCCCACAACCCUAGUUAGGUAAAUUAGCCGCUCAUGUUUAUGCAAGAACCCAUGAUAAUCAGUAAAGAAUUCAUGAAAUUAAUUGCAAAAGACAAGAUAAAUAAAAUCCAAAAUCUUUAAUUAAAUAAUAACCCAAAAUCUCAAGAAUAAUUAUAAUGUACGUAAAAGUAGUAAGAAUAAUGUUAAAGAGUGCAACCUAAUAAAAUAUGAACCCUAUGGUACUUAUAGUCUCUCAAAAAUACUCAGAAAUUCUAAUAAAAAUAGAAAAGGAAAAGUAAUUUUGGCACACGGUAUGACUCAUUCGUCCACUCAUAAGGUCUUCUUAUGAGUCAUGCUAUGCCUCUAGUAUCCACUCUAGUGUUUAAUCUUCCAGUCCUCAACUUUUGAUUCUUCGUAUGACUUCUGUUCAAGAGUUGUACCUUGACCAUAAAACUCUUGGCCUUUUCUUGUAUCCACCUGGGACUUCUGUCUUUCCAAGCUUGGACAUAGGUCUGCUUACUAUUGGAUCAUUUGAGUCGUACUCAGACUUCUAAUUCAUAUUCUUCUAAGACUUCAACUCUGAAUUCCUUCCUUGGUUUCUGUUAUCUUUAUGAUUUUUUGAUAUGACCCGUAUCCUCAUAUUACGACUCGAAUUCUCCCGUUGUAUCUUCUCUAUACUUAGUUUCUCAGUUGGCUUUUGCUUCUGUUGUGUUUAUGGGUCAACCUAUGAGUCGUAUGAUGUGUUGAUGACUCGUAUCUUUUACAGUAUCAGUAUUUUUUAGGUUUCUUCUUCCAAUUUAAUUCCAACACUAUAAUAGACUUGUUUCACCUAUAAGAAGCAACAAACCACAUCAUAUCAACCAAAAUAACCUAAGUACAAGCAUAAUUUCAUUGUUUUAAGCAUCGAAAUUAUGUUUCCGUGACACAUCAACACCCCUAACUUAGAAGUUUUCGGGUCCUCAGGCAAAACAGAAAUCAAAGACUAUCAAAACACCUUGAUGCUUUAAUAUAAAGAUCCUAUGAUACCUAUGACAGUGACUUUUCAAUUCAACUUUCAACAAUUCUUUUCCCCUCCUAGUUUUAACUUUUCAUGAUAUAAACUGCGUAUAACAAUUUAGCACACAAAGAAACACACAGGAAUCCAAUGAUAGAAUCACAUUAGUAACAGACAACUGGGCAUAGACACAAAUCACAUCAACCAAAUAGUCUAGCAAUCUAGCAAUAUAACCCAUGUGGUCUUACAGUCAAAGAAAUCCCAUUCACUCCAUACUUUCAAGAAGACUUUUGAAUAGACGACUACAAAAAUGUGACCCACCGUCCCUAAUGAUAGAAAGUGGCAUGUCAAACCAAGAAAAUAUGUGUUUUUUCAAGAAUGCAAUGACACUACGUACUUCAUUGUUGGGGAGAUCAACUGCUCCACCCAUUUGGAAAUAUAAUCAAAAGUCACCAGUAUAUGCUUCAUGCAAAAUGAACUCACAAAAUGACCCAUGAAGUCUAUACCCCAUAAAUCAAACAAUUCUAAUUAUAAAUAAGAGUCAUAGGAAGUUCAUGGCAUCUAGAGGUAUUACCUUGGAAUUGAUAUUGAUCAUAAACUGAAGCAAAAUCAUGAGCAUCUUUUUAGAUUGUUGGCCAAUAAUACCCAUAUUGCAAGAUUUUAUUGGUUGUGUGGGUUCCUCCACGAUGACCCCCAACUAGUGAGGAAUGACAAGCCUCAAGUAUGCUCAUCAUCUCCACCUUACAUAUACAUCUAUGAAUAAUCCCAUCUAAAUAAAUUCUAAAUAAAUAGUGUUGAUCCUAGAAAAAUUUCCUUACCUUAUGCAUAAACUUCUUUCUUUGUUGGAAAGAAAUAUCUUCUAGGACUAGAUCACUAGCUAGAUAAUUUGCAUCAUUUGCAAACCAUGGAAUUAGAUCUUGGGAAGCUUCCAAUAACUGUUCAUCUAGAAAACUAUCAUUAAUCGCGAGCCCAUUUUCAACUUUCUUAAUAGCAUCCUUCUCAAGUCUAGAAAAAUGAUCUGCAACUUGGUUUCUAUUGCAUAUAAAAUUAUUUCAGCAAUAUUACCCCCCUAAUUAGUCUAGGCUUUUCAUCCUUUUUCUUCAUCAAGUACUAUAAUUCUGCAUGGUUCAUGAGCACUAGUUCUUUUGUCCCAAUCAAGUAAGACCUAAACUUUUCAAAGGUAAAAACCACUGCCAACAGCUCUUGUUCAGUCACUGUGUAGUUCUUUUGAGCAGGGUUGAAUCACUUACUGGCAUAGUAGAUCAGAUGAAGAAUCUUUUCUUUUCUUUGGCCUAAGACAACACUAAGGCCACUCCACUUGCAUUACACAUAACCUCAAAAGGCAAGGACCAAUCAGGAGACAUGAUGAUUGGAGCCUACACCAACUUCUCAAUUAGGCUUUCAAAAGCCUUCAUACAAGCAUCAUAAAAAAACAUUUCACCUCCUUCUCAAGAAGUUUGCAAAGAGGGUUAGCAAUCUUCUAGAAAUACUUAAUAAAAUGCCUAUAAGAUCUUGUAUGCCCUAAAAGGCUUCAAAUCCCCUUCACAGAAAUUGGUGGAGGUAAUUUCUCAAUUACCUCUAUUUUGGAUCUGUCAACCUCUAUGUCCCCUUUUGAAAUCUUAUGCCCAAGCACAAUACCUUCUUUUACCAUGAAAUGGUAUUUCUCCCAAUUAAGUACCAAGUUGCAUUCCCUAAAUCUUCUAAGAGCAUUUUCCAAGUGAACUGGGCAGUCAUCAAAAGAAUCACCAAUGAUUGAAAAAUCAUCCAUAAAAGCUUCGAUGGUGUCUUCUACCAUGUGGCUAGCGCAUUACAUAACCAAAAUAGCAUUACAUAACCCAAAUAGCAUAUGCCUGAAUGCAAAGCUCCUAUAAAGACAUGUAAAAGUCAUAUUCUCUUGGUCCUUAGGUGCAAUAGUAAUUUGGUUGUAGUCAAAAUACUAUUAAGAAAAUAGUACCAUCCUAUGCCCGCAAGUCUAUCCAACAUCUAGUCUCUGAGAGCAUAGGAAAAUAGUCCUUCUAAGUCCAUGAAUUCAAUUCUCUAUAAUCUUACUCUCCAUCCUUUGACUAGCCUUAUUGGAACUAGCUCAUUCUUUUCAUUAGGCACAAUAGUAAUCCUGCUUUUCUUCAAAACAUAUUGUACUAGAAUGACCCACUUGCUAUCAAUAAUUUGAUACACUACACCAGCAUCCAACCACUUGAUUAUAUCUUUAUUCACACCUCCUGCAUAGGAGGAUUAAGUUGAUGCUGAUGUUCUAUACUUGGAAUACACUUCAAUUCAAGUUGAAUUUUAUAAGUACAUAACCUAGGUGGGAUACCCACAAUAUCUAUAAUGGACCAACCAAUGGCUCUUUUGAACCUCUGUAAUAUUGGUAAUAAUGCUUCCACUUCUAUAUUAAUCAAAUCUGUUGCAAUAAUUAUUGGAAAAAUAUUGUUGGCCCCCAAAAAUGCAUAUCCCAAAUAAUAAGGGAGGGCCUUCAACUCUAAGACCAAUGGUUUUUUAAUGACUGGACGAGUAGGUGGAGUAAUUUUAUUCUUUAAAUCCAAAUCAAGAUUCUUUGGUGCAUAAGUGUAUGAACCACUUACAUAAAUUGCACACACCAUAUCAUCAUACUCAUCAAUUCCAUCACUUUCAAAGUUAAUGAUCACGACUACUUUAUAUUUAACACUCAAUCUAUCUUCAAUUGGAACAACAUCACAAGCACCAUCCUAAAUAAGCACUAAAUUAACAUCAUAGAAUAAAUCCAUCUCCUCAUGAAGAUAAAUCACAGAUACCACUCUUAACUCAUCAAGAUACUUCAUGGAUUUGCAUAUAUUGAAUAUCACAUGUUUAUUAUUGAGUCUCAACAUUAGAUAUCCUAGCUCCAAAUCAAUCAAUAUCCUUCCUAUUAACAAGAAUAGUCCUUCCAAGAUAAUUGGGUCUUGAAAGUCCACUUCACGGUCUAAUAUCACAAAAUUAGCAAAAAAGAUAAAAAAAAUCCACCUUUACCAAUACAUUAUAUAGAAUACUAAUUAUUUUUUUUCAAAGUCCUUUCUGUUAUCACUAGUCUUAUCAUGGUUGGUCCAAACCUCAAUUAUUUAAACACUGCAAAUGGCAUACGGUUAAUGCUAGCACACAAAUCACAUAAUGCAUGAGUGAAAUUGAAAGAUUUAAUGGUGUAGGGUAUAGUGAAACAACCAGGAUUCUUUUUCUUCUGCACCAAUGAUCUUAUAACUACAACACUGCAAUGAUGAAUUUUGUCGACUGGCUCAUAACUGACUGACCUUUUCUUGGUGAUAAAAUCUUUUGUGAAUUUUGGAUAUCCUGCCAUUUGCUCUAAUGCCUAUACAAGAGGAAAUUAACUGAUAGAUCCUUUAACAUAGACAAAAACUUCUGAUACUUACCUUUUACUUGUUUUAUUUUUAUCCUUUGAGGAAAAUGAGGAUGAUGUCUCAGGAUAGGCUUCAAAAUAGGAUCCUCAACCUUAUCUUCUCCUGUGUAUUACUUGCUACUACUCUCCACCUCAACAAAAUCAUCUUCAUUCUUUUUUUCAUCAAUACUAGGUGUAGGCAAAAAUAUAGUAGCUUUACCAGUCUGAGUGGUAAUGGCAUAGCAGUGACAAUCAUUCUUUCGAUUUACAACCGUGUUACUAGGAAGAGUUCCAGGUUAUCUUUGAUUCUAUGUGGCCGACAUCUGGCCAUACAGAAGUUCCAGUUGUUUGAUUGCAGUAGCAUGUGACUUAACUUUCUGAUUCAGCCUGUAUAGGUCUUCCUUAAUCUCCUUAAGAUAGCUCUCUUGACUUUCUUUCUCUUUGACAAGUUUUGACAAUAUUUUCUUCAUUCUAGACUCAGUAUCUCAACUAUCUGGUGGAACAUACUUGUCACUCUUCUUCUUGUAGUCAUUUUUCAUCUUCCAAUCACUAUUUCUCUCUACUUUUAUCUUUAUAUAUGUUAUUAUAAUAGUUUCAGCCUUUAUUACCUUGCCCUUGGGCUAAGAAAUAUACCAACCUACGAUCAAGAUACUUCGAUUCCUCUUCAGAUUCAAUCUCAAAAGUUCUAGAAUUAGAUCCCUAUACUGCAACUACAUUCACUUUCUCAACACUCAUUAUUGUGAAUUGUUUUGUAAGCAGCCUAAUAUAUGUCUAAAGUUUUGCAACCUCUCAUGAUACAAAAUCUUUACCAGCUCUAUAAUCAUUUACUGCUCCAAUAUCAUAUGUACCUGCACCAUGCUCAACAUCUCUAGUAUGCCAACCUUUAUUGGUCAUUAAAAUAUCAUCAAGCAUAUCCUGUGCAGUAUCCCACCAAAGAAUCAUAAAGACACCUCCCAAAAUCAUAUCUUCUAUUGAUGUAGAACUGACGUUCAGUGAUCUAUAGAAGAUUUACAACAAAUUUGGCCCUCUGAUUCAAUGAUUAGGUACCAUGCUCAGCUUCUUCUUGAAUCUAAACCAUGUCUUAUACAAAUAUUGUAUAGGUAAUUGUCUGAAGUUAUAUAUUUCAUCUUUCAAUAGUAGCAUCCUUGCAGGAUGGAAAAAUCUAUUCAGAAACUGUUUACAUAACUUAUGCCAAAUAGUGAUUAAACCUCUUGGAAGUUCCCCUAACCAUAGUGAUGCUUCACCUAUCAAUGAAAAUAUGAACAACUCAGUCUUAAGGAUUCCUGAUCCACCCCCAGAAUAGUAUAUGAUAUGCAGAUCCUAGUAAAAUUAUCAAGAUACAUGUUUGCAUCAUUAGUAGUUGAUCCCAAAAGCACACCCUUCAAAUUCAAUAAUUAGAUCAUACUGAUAGUAAUAUCAAACUUCAUAUUAGGUGGUAAAGUAGAAGGAAUGAUAGCUCCUACCUUGGUAGGUUCAAUAGAACCCAUAUCCUCUUCAUUCUUAUAUGGGUACAAGUGUUGAUGUGUAGGAAUCUAUAGAGAUAAGCCUCUCUAAACUCUAUCUUGAUGCUUAUCUAUUUGACGUGAUCUGGCUGGUCCUCCUUACUGAACUACUCCAAUCUCUUCAGCUAAUCGGGCCUCUUCAACUGCUUUUCUCUUCCUUAGCAGUAGUUAUUAAAUGUUGCAUCUAUAAAUCUAUAAUAUUCUAUGGAUCAUUUGGAACCCAUGGGAGUGCCACAUUGGGAUCAACAGGUAGAGAGGAAGGAACUUGAACACUAGUAGGAAAACUAUCACAAACUUGAGCUGACAUCCUUCUCAAUGUUUAAAGAAUUUAUUUAGGCUCUAGAUCAAAAGGGAGUAAGGGAUUGCCUCUUCUCCUCCUUUUUGACAUAUACUAUCAUAUUUCAAAUAAAAGAAAACAAAAAAUAAAACCCACAAACUUCACCAAUUCAAUUAUUUACUCAAAUUGUCUUCUCUAGUAACGACGCCAAAAUUUGAUAUCGCCCAAAACUAGCCUCCAAAAGAAGUAUGCUGCAGUCGAUGCCAAAUAUAGUAACCCAACUAGGUUGGGUUUGAUCCUAUUGGAAAAUUUUGAAUGGUUGUGUAACUUGAUGUAAUCCACAAGCAGCACAGGAAAGUAAAUGAGGAAAUUUGAAAGUAACUAGUAAGUAGUAGCCGAAUCUUGAAUGUUUUGAUUUUUAAACAAUAUAAGAGAAACACUAGGUUUGUAUUCCCCCUGGCUUCUCAACUAUAUAAAUUUGUCAUGUUCAACCCACCUAUUCUAUAGCUCUACAUGUAAAGUCAACAAGAUAUGUACUAUCAAUCUUCUUGUGAACAUGUUGAUAAAUCUCAGCAUUUACCAUGUGAAUCUCAAGGUGUCGCCUUAUUUCUCCUUGUCUAUAACUUUAGUUCAACUUUCACCUUUUGAGAGUCAACUUGAUUAGAUGAUAUGAUGGAAUGAUACUAAGAUGGAAGUGAAUCUCAAAUUAUUACUUAAUCCUCUUUUCCUAAUCACAAACUCCUUGUGAGAAUAUUUAUAUAUACAAGCUAUUCCCAAGCUUCUGUAGUAGCUCUGAGGUCAAUUAUUGUAAAGAAGAUUAAGAUAUAUGCAUAAACCCUAGAAUAGAUAAAUCUCACACUUCCUUUACAUAGCUAAUCCACUAGGGUUCCCACAACACUAGUCGAUGAAAUUAGCCACUCAUGUUUUUGCAAGAACUCAUGAUAAUCAAGAAAGAAUUCAUGAAAUUAAUUACACAAAGAUAUUCUAGAUGAAUAAAAUCCAAAGUCUUUAAUUGAAUAAUAACCCAAAAUCUCAAGAAUAAUUGUAAAGUAUGUAAAAUUAGUAAGAAUGAGGUUAAAGAGAGUAACCUAAUAAAAUAUAAAUCCUAGGAUAUUUAUAGUAUCAAAAAAGUACUCAUAAAUCCUAAUAAAAAGGAAAAGUAAUGUCGGCACAAGGUACAAAUUUUUCAUCCACUCUUAAGGUUUUCUUACAAGUUGUACUGUGCCUCUUGUAUCAAUUCCAGUGUCUAAUCAUCCAGGCUUCAACUUUUUGUUCUUCUUAUGACAUCUGCUCAGGAGUCUUACCUUCACCAUACAACUCGUAGACUUCACUCGUAUCCACCUGGGAAUUCUAUCUUUCCAUGCUUAGACACUAGUCUGCUUAGUGUUGGAUAAUACGAGUUGUACUCAGACUUCCAACCCGUAUUAUUCUGAGACUUCAACUCUGAAUUUCUUCCUUUGUUUCUAUUCUCUUUACGAUUUUCUAAUACGACCCAUAUCCUCAUAUUAAGACUCAGAUUCUCCUAUAGUAUCUUCUAUACACUUAGCUUCUGUUGUGUUUACAAGUCAACCUAUGAAUCGUAUGAUGUUUUGACGACUCAUAUGGUGACUUGUAUUUUCUCCAGUCUUAGUCCUUUUAAGGUCUUUUCUUCUAGUUUCAUUCUUACACUAUAAUAGACCUAUUUCACCUUCAACAAGCAAUAAACCACAUCAUAUCAACAAAAAUAACCUAAGUACAGGCAUAAUUUCAUUAUUUUAAGCAUCAAAAGUGUCGUGUUUCUACGACACAUUAGAGACCAACCCCAUACACAAACCAUCACCCACCUUACACCCCACUUCGAAUAAAUUUUGAAUAGAUAAUGAGAUAUGCGCAUAUCAAGAGAGAAAAAAAGAAACCAUUAUAAUAAGUCUAUAACCAAAAACAACUAUUUACAAUGAAACAUCCAACCAAUACCAAUACCAAUGCCAGUAUCUAGACCGACACUGUCAAUGCCCAUAGUAGUCCAACAAAGUCUCUAAUCAAAACUAUAGAAUAUCCGAUCGGGACAUGGCCCGGCCAUAUCUAAAACUAAAAGCAAAGAAAUAGUAAAGUCAUAAAGUAAUCCAUAGGAUGAAAUGGAGUCCUUUGAAGUAUGGAAGCUUACCACUUUAGUCUAACUCAAAAAUUGUCCCUGAAUUGCCUAGUUGUUGAGUAGGAGGAGAGAAAGUAUGACCAAUUCCUGUAUCGUGUGGGGAUACAACGUCUGAAGGCGGUUAGCAGGGUGAACUCUAGCAUGAAACUCGAGAAUAAGGAUAACAUAAUGAUAUGUAAAAUUAUUCAAAUGCCAACACACAUAAUCAAAUGCAAAUACAUAAGUAUAUAUCAUAUGUCGGGAUAAGGAACAAGUCUUAACAUACUUUAAAAAAUCUUAACCUGGAUUGUGUAGUUCAACCUUCACAUAAUAGUACCCACAGGCUAUAUGGGCCCAAGUUAUCACCCCCUGGUCGGGCCCUAGUAUGUGUAGCCGCAAAAAUUGGAGAAUAAUCUUAUAUAUAUGAACAUAGGGGACUCAAACCCUAUAACAUAUACAAAGGUGAAUUAAGCACCCAAUCAUAUAAUGAUUUAUAGGGAAUCAUGAAAUAAUUAUAAAGGGGACUCAAAACUCCCUAGUCACUUUGACUCCCUCGUCGGCAAACACAGUUUCCAUAUCGGUCACUCAGACCUCCGCUUUCACGACUCAAUUAGACAACUCUUAUUAGAGCCUAAUUAAAAUAGUUGUCACACAUUCCCAUUCAAUGAACUAUAAUACCUAUUUAGUCAUAUAUUUUUUGUAUCAUCAUACCAACUAUACUUUCAAGGUAACACAUCAUGCCAAAACAACUUCCCAUUAACUUGGGGAGAACAACUCCCUUUGCUCAUUAAUACACAUUAGGGAAACACCGACUCCCUUUGUUCAUUGAAUCAUACCAUUGUAUUUCAUAUAAUUCUUUAUAUCAUGCAAUAGUUUAAGAUGUUUAAUUAUUAAAGAUUUCCACAGUUCUCAUAACUUAAACAAAUUUCACAUUAUGGGGUUGGGGUUAUAACCACUUCAGAAGUCACAAGUUUGGGAAAAUCACAAUUCCCUAGCUCAUUCACCAUACCCAUGUACCCACAAGUUCAAAAUCAUAUUCAAAGCAUGGAAAAUUAUAUAUAUAAACCAUUGGAAACAUCGUUCCACUCAUAACUUUCAAAACCCCCCAACAUUUAUUUUCAAAACCCAAAAUAAUAACCUUGUGGAAAACACUCUAAAUCACAUGUGUUUUGGAAAAUUCACAAUGAGGGAAGAGUAAUAUUACUUAAUCACCAAGAAGUAUGGAGACAAAUUACCCUUGAAAUCCUUAAUUGAUCAACCUUUGAAAACCAUAAGUGUUCUUGACCUUGAGGAUUUAGGAGUGUUUUGAGAGGUUAUUCGAUGUGUUUCUGAUUGCAAAUGAUGACCUAAAGAAGUUAUAAGAUGUAGUUUUUAAGUUGGACAAGAGGGGAAAUUUCCAGAAUACCCUUCACUUAAAAGUUGGAAAAAACCUUCUAUGGUUACGAGUUAACCCCUUUACUCAUACCCACACCUUACAACUCGUGACCAUGAGUUGUAACCAAGACAAUGACUAGGACCUCAAUAUACCACCACCUUACGACUCCACCAACACACUCUUAAGGAGAUUUUAUGACUCAUAAGUUCUAUUUAUAAGUAACACAAAACCAAAAAGAUUUGUACACUGUACAUCCUAAAAUUUGAACCUAUGACUCAUACCAUAUCCUUAUAUCUCAUAGUGAGCCACUUGUACUCAGAGCAGAACCUUGCUGCUAAGUUUCUGAUUUGGUUACGACCAGGGUCCUACAAACUUUAACCAAAUGUCAUGACUUGUCAUAAUGAGUCGUGACCAAGACAUUGAUCCCAAAACUCAAGAAUUUUCAAGGGCAAAAAAUUUAGGGCAUUACUAUUUGGGAUGUUAGUGUUGAGAGUCCAUCGCUUGACUCUAUCCCAAUUAUUUAUGAGUUUUCUGAUGUGUUUCCAACUGACCUACCUAGCAUUCCUAUUGACCAUGAUAUAGAGUUUAUUAUCGACCUUGAGCCAGGAACCCGACCUAUUUCUAAGGCUCUAUAUUAUAUGGAUUUUGCUGAGUUGAAGGAGUUAAAUAGUCAUUUUUAGGAUCUUCUAGGUAAGGGCUUUAUCAAAUUGAGUGUCACCAUGGGGUACUCCAAUUCUAUUUAUGAAUAAGAAUGAUGGAUCUAUACAUAUGUUUAUCGACUAUAGGCAGUUGAAUAAGGUGACCAUGAAGAAUAAGUAUUCUAUACCUUAUAUCAAUCAUUUGUUUGACCAAAUUCAGGGUGCAACAAUGUUUUCUAAGAUAGAUUUGAGGUUUAGUUACCCUCAUAUGAGAGUUAGGGCUGCAGACAUCCCUAAGACAACCUUCAGGACUUAUUAUGGUCAUUAUGAGUUCUUGAUUUGGGUUGACCAACGCUCCAGUAGUUUUUAUAGAACUGAUGAAUGGCGUGUUCAGUCCAUAUUUAGACUCUUUCAUGAUAGUAUUUAUUGAUAACAUGCUAGUAUAUUUAAGGAUUUGGGAAGUGAACAAGCGGUAUUCGAUGACUAUGCUCCACAUUUUGAGAUAUCAUUAGCUUUAUGCCAAGUUUACAAAGUACGAGUUCUAGAUUAAGUCUGUAGCUUUCUUAGAGCACAUAGUGUCUAAGAAUGGUAUUAUGGUGGACCCAACGAACAUUGAGGAUAUUUGUAGUUGGGAGAGGCCUACGUCACCUAGUGAGGUUCACAGUUUUGUUGGGUUAGCAGGUUACUAUACUUGGUUCAUUAAGGGUUUUUCUUUUAUUACAGCCCCUAUGACUAGAUUGACCAAGAAGGAGGUUCAGUUUUUGUGAUUUGUCAGUUGUGAGGCAAGCUUUUGAAGCUUAAGGAUUUGCUUGCCUUAACUUUCAAAUGCUUCAGGCUGAGGGUAAGGUUUUUACUAUUAUUGUAAUGAGUCUAGAAUUAGUUUUAGGUGUGUUUCGAUACAGAGGAGUCGUGUUAUUCCAUAUGCAUUGAGGCAACCAAUGUUGCAUGAGUGCAACUAACCCACUCAUGACUUAGACUUAGUAGCGGUAGUGCUUGUGCUUAGGAUUUUGCAAUAUUAUUUAUUUAGGGUUUGCUGUGAUAUAUUUACUAAACACCAUAGUCUGUAGUAUAUUAUGACCUAGAAGGAGCUUAAUUUGAGGCAACAUAAAUAGAUUGAUGUCACGACUUGAUACUACCCCUAGUUGUAACACAGUGCCUAAGUGACCCUAAGCUAACCCAUGGACUAGCAUACAUUAGAAUAAUGAAUAAAGUAAAAAAAACAUUGGGUGGAAGCUAACUAAAAUAAUCACUGAAAACCAAGAUAAUGUAAAACUGAAUACCUAAUAAAACUAGAAAUAUAACAAAGAACUGCCUGAUAACCAAUCAUGCUGAAAAUAAAUACAUUUAUCUGAAAGCCUCUACUCAUAAUGAGUUAUAGGGGAAAGCUCCCAGUAAUUCCAACUGACUAAAACUAAAAUAAAUUGACAAAAAAAUAAAGAACUAAUAACUAGUCCAUGAAUAAGGAAGAUUCACCAAAGCUGUUUCUAAAUAUGUAUGGGAAGAUUCUAAGUACGGUUCGAGUACUGAGCGUCCGAACCUAUAUUGUGGAUAAUAUAGCAAAGAAAAGUUUUCAAUCAUUACUUUGAAUGUAUUGAGUAUGUGAGAUGGGAAACUAGUAACAUAAAUAGAAUAUGAAUGCAUUAACAUGUAAACUGAAUGCAAAACCAAGUAAAAACGUGUUUUGAAUAAAACUGAAUACAGAAUAUCUAAAUACUUGGUCAAGCAAACCUGAACUGAACAUAAAAUAAACCUAAACUGAGUAUUGUGGGAACUAACAAUAACCAACAUAACCCAAUAUGAACAAACCUAGGGUCUAAAACUAUAACCCCAGUUGGAAGGGUGCUAGUACCUUGCCAAGGGUACCAACACUAGCUGGCGUAGCUCUACUAAAUUGAUGUCCCAAAGGACUAGGGUGUAAUUCCUCUAUUGGGGGUGAUUGUUAUAACCUAUGGUGGUACUGUAUUUCUAGAACUUAGGGACAUCUACUAAAUGUUAAUCCUCAGCUGGCCAGGUGAUCCUUCAUCCCUACGUUUACUCAGUGCUAAGUACAACUCCUAACUGAAUGACACCAAAAUUCAAUAUAUAUAUAUAUAUAUAUACAUACAUGUGCAUAGUCUGAAAUGUUCAAAACAUAUCAUCUGGUUCAUUCAUGAAAUCUUAGGUAUCGAGUAUUCAUAAGCUACCAGCUUUGUCUAAUGCAAUGAAAUCAAUAAUAAUUUAAAACUAAUCAUAGUAGAGAAUUUCACAAAACAUAUCCCAAACUCAAUAAUUUGUCAAUAAUAAGGAAUUCAUGAUGGUGAGUAUAGGAAGAUGUAACUCCAGAGGAAAACAUGUACUCAUGGUUAAAUUUAAAGUAAAUUAAGUAACUUGUAGAAAACUUCAUAUUUGAACUGGAACCCAAACCUUAGGGGAAAGUAAACUUGAGUAAUUAGAAACUUUUGGCACUCAAUGGGUAGAAGGGACAUAUUGAUGAAAAUCCACAUACCUGAAGUGGAAACCUUGGAGAAAAUCUUUGAAAUCUGAGCUUGUUCUUAAGAAACCCUAACUUGCUUUUAGAGAUGAGAGAAUUAUUUCUUUUCCUAUUAUGGAUUGGCUUUAUGAUUAAACGAUGAAUUUGGGUAAGUUUAGGCUUAUAUACCACUAUUGCGGAAGACUAAAAGACUUAGGUUAGAAGCUAAUAAAAUGGAAAAAAAUAAACUACCCUUUUUAAAUCAUACAAGAAUUUUUUAUUAGUCACCAUGCCUCGAGUAACGAUUGGUCAUGAGUCAUGGUUUGAGUCAUGACCUGAGGUCCUAAGUUUUGAAUCUUUUCAGUUAUGAUAAUGACUUCCCUCCUAAUGACUCAUUAGGUUUGAUCAUGGAUUGUUAGAAGAAGUCAUGGUCAGAGACUUACUUUUUAAAUUUUCUUUUGUUGUGACAACGGGUUUACCUAAUGACUCAUUAGGACUAGUAAUGAGUCGAAUGCUGGACUCGUCAUCACUAGUCUAAAAUUUUAAAUCCUUCAUUAUUAUGGAAAUGACUCCAUAGAAUGACUCAUUAUAACUGAUAACGGGUUAUUGCCAAAGUCGUUGUCAUUGGGAGUUGACCAAUCUUAAGGAAAUUUUCCAUAACUUUUUGCCACAAUAUUAGAUUAAAAAGAGAGUAGUGGCAUUGAAAAUCUAAUUUAAUGGUAUAUCUUCUGAUGGGACUAGAUCUUGAAAUUUUUAGGGUAUUACAAUAGAGUUGCUGAUGGAAUAUGAUAUCUUUUUUCUUUAUUAUCCAAGAAAGGUAAAUGUGGUAGUAAAUACCUUAAGCUAAAAGUCAGUUAGUAUUGGUAGCUUAGCCUUUAUUUUAACUUCUUAGCUGCGGUUGGCUUUGGACAUCCAUUACUUAGCUAACUUGAUGCUUUGUCUGGAUAUUUUUAACCCUUGGAGGAUCGUUGCUAGUGUUGAUGCAAGAUCUACCUCGUUGGAACACAUUUAGGGUCACUGGUUUAAGGAUAGUAGCCGUCAUAGCAUUUGAGAACAGGUGUUAAAGGGGUGAGUUUAGGAGGGUUACCUUAGAUUCUGAAAGUGUCCUAAAGUUUAAAAGUCAUAUUUAUGUUCUAAGGAUUGGAGAUUUGGUUCAGUUGAUUCUUCAUAAGGCUCAUAGCUCCAAAUACUCUAUUCACCCUAAGACAGUUAAGAAGUAUAGGGAUUUGAGAUAGCAUUACUGGUGGAGUGGUAUGCAGAGAUAUAUAGUAGGGUUUAUGGUACUCAGUGCCAUUAUUGUUUGUAGGGACAGGACGAGAAUAGAGAUCCAGUGGAUUGCUAAAGAAGCUACCUAUUCUUGGGUAGAAGUGGGAGCGAGUUAUUAUGGAUUUCAUAGUUGGACUACCUCGCAAUUCCCAUGGUUUUGAUAGAAUUUAGGCAUCAUUGAUCGAUUGAUAAAGUUCUCAUAUUUUAUCCUCAUUCAAGUUUUCUACACUGCCAAGAGUUUAGCUCGUGUUUAUAUUUAGGAGGUUGUUUGCUUACAUAGGGUACCUUUUACCAUUAUUUCAGAUUGAGGCUCUAAGUUUACUUCUAGCUUGUGGUAGAAAUUUCAGGAAGUGUUGGGUACGCAGGUUGAUCUUAGCAUCACAUUUCAUCCCCAGACUGAUCGGAAGUUGGAUUUUGGGGUUUACUGGGACCAAUUUUUACUUUUGGUGGAGUUUGCUUAUAAUAAUAGCUUUUAUUCGAGUAUCUAGAUGGUACCAUUUGAGGCAUUGUAUGAUAGAUAAUGUUGAUCUUCUAUUGGCUGAUUUGAGACUCUAAAGGCUAGGCCUCGUGGCAUAGAUUUUCUUUAUGAGUCAUUCGAUUGAGUUUGAAUGAUUCAGGACAGGCUUCAAGUAUCUCACAGUAGACAGAGGAGUUAUGCUAACCAUAGUAGUCAUCCAUUGAUAUUAAAACUUGGUGAUAGUAUCUUUCCAUAAAUAUCAUCCAUGAAGGGCGUGAUGAGGUUUGGGAGGAGAGGAAAGCUUAGCCCUAAAUAUAUUAGACCCUUUGAGACCCUAUAAAUAGUUGGGGAGGUAUCAUAUAUGUUGGCAUUGCCUCCUACCUUCUCAGCCUUCCACCUAGUGUUUUAUGUAACUAUUUGUGACAGAUCUAAAUGAGUCGACCGUGCUUUGGUGGGACUCAAUUAAGUUGGAUGAGGGGUUGGCAUUUGUAGAGGAACCAGAGUUUAUUUUGGCUAGAGAUGUCAUACAGCUAUGUUCCAAGGACAUUCAAGUAGUUAAGGUUCAGUGGCGUCAUCGUCUAGUGGAGGAGGCUACCUAGGAGACUAAGCAUGAUAUGCAGGCCCAGUAUUCCUACCAUACUAGGACAUGGAAUUAAGUUACAAAACCAUUGACUUAUCCCUUUUUAAUUAAUAUAUAUGAAUGGUUAAUUAAACUUCUUUUAUUUUUAUUUAGGUUCAACAUAUACUUUAUUUCUGUCAUUGAUUGUUAAUUUUGGUACCACUUUGGCAUUGUUUAUGGUAUGGUUAUGUAAUGACCUUUAGGUCAUUCUCGUGAUUUUACUUAUUAUUGUUGUUAGAGAUUUUCCAUAGCCACCCUUAGUCAUUUAUGACUUUCUAGGAUAAAUAGUUUGAUUAUCGAGAAGUUUAUUUGGUUUUUAGAACCAUUUCCCUAUUAAGAAGUCUUUGUUGGUUUCAAAAGUCCAUCAAAUGAAAACUUUAGUAAAACAAUAUCGGAUACAAAUUCUGAAUGUGCUAGCAAUUCUAGAAUAUUAAUUUUAGGUUGGGUAGACCAUUGGUUUAGGUCUUGCUGCACCCAAACUCAUUUUGAGUUAUUGGUCUAAUAGCUGAUAAAUUUGAACUUUGGGUAUGGGGCCCACAUUAGGUUGAAAUAACCUUAGAUGGAAAAUUUGACUUUGCCAACAAAUCGCGAACGUUGAUAUCAGUGUGGUUACAUAUUUUUUUUGCUCAUAUUGGACUCCGGAUGCAUCCUAAGGCAUUAGUCAAAACUUGGAAUCAAAUUCAAAGUUUCAACUAUCAUUUUAUGCAUAAAAGUACCAUGAUCACGGAGACUUCAAAGAAAUCGCAAUGCUACAAUUAUUGGUGCGUGAUUACCCUAUCUGAGUGCCUGGGAAGGGAUUAUUUAAAUGCUCCUUUGGAUGAGAAUUGGCCAUUUCUCCACUAUCUUGAGACCCAUAAACCCUAAGAGAGUGUGUAGCCCUUAAAUUGGAUCUUGGAUGUUGAUUGGGAGCUUAAUUAACUUGCAUAAUCAUGAUUAACAUCAAAUCUAAGGUAUGGAUCCUUCUAUUUUAGUGUUGAAUUCUUAAUUAUUUGACCUAAAACUCUAAUUGGCUAGGGGGCAUGAUUUUAUCCCAAACAAGCUUGAUAGUCACUUGAUUAUUGAGGGUUAUAACUCCCUAACAGUAUUUGAACAAUGGGUUUAUCUCAAAAAUUUAUUUUCUAUAUGUGGGACCCACUUAGGGGUUUUUAAGACGUUUUGGACCUAAAGCAUAAUAGUGCAAUAUAGGUGUAGGUAUUAUCAUAAUAAUGCAUAGAUUAUGUUUUUGAUAGCUUAGCUCCUUAAAGAAGCUUCGAGGAAAGGGAAAACGAAGAUUGUUUGUUUAUGAACUAUAUUUUGAUUCGAGCUAGGUUAGGCUUACUUUUGUUAGAUUGAGCUUUAUUAUAGUAUGAGAUUAGUUGAACCACUUAGGCUAUUGAGCUCAUAAUAUGUGAUACUUGACUUAUAGUCUAGAAACUUGGUUAGUUGGACUUGUUAUCACAUGAAUAGCAUGAGAAUGCUCUAGUUACUCUAGUUAGAGAGGAGUGAACUUGUUCACUCAUCUUAGGAGUAAGUUGACCUAGAUAUGCACAGUUGUGAAAUUGGCCUUAGAUGCUUUGGAUGACUUCAGAGUAAUCUCAAGGUAGAAUAGUCCUAUAAAAUGAUUGUGGAUUGAUAAACCUUUAGGAUAUAAUUUACACAACUUAGUCUAGUUCUUCGUAAAAGUUAGACUUGAAGAUAUAACUUGGCAUAUUAGAAGCGGAACUUGACCCGCCUUAAGCUUGAACUAUGUAGCUUUAUUAGUGACCUAGAUAAUUGUUAAAUGCCUAGAAUAUGCUUUUGAUAAUAUGAUAUCUAGAACCGGUAAAUGGUUUAUACAUGAUGUUGAUUUUGGAAAUAAAGUACAUACUUGAUGGUAAUCUUAUUGUCAUCACUUGGAUAGCAAUGGAAAGUCUUGUGAAUUGAACAUAAGCCUAUGUUAUCACUUAACUUAUUGGCUAGUUUACUAUGUAAGCCUUGGAUUAUGUCAUUACUCAUAUCACGUUCAAGCCUAGUGACUAAACUUAUGUUUGUGUAGAAGAAUCCUUUUUGUGCUAGUAAUGUGAGUCAUGCCAAACAAGAGAGAUUCUAGAAAGUAUAACCAUGACUUGUAAUUGACCUUGCUAAGAAUUAUGUCAAGCCCGGUAAUGUAUUGAGUGUUUAUACCAUGUGGAUAUCCAUGUUUAUGCACGUACUAUUAUAAUGUAUUGAUAAUAAAUGGUGAGGUACCAUGAUAGGUUAUUCUUUAUCACUCUUACACUCUAUUGUUUGUGAGGCUUGUACUUGUUAUUGAUUUGGCUACAUAUCUAUAUAUAUUGAUUUCAUGAUAAAUAUUGAUGAUAUGGUGAUGUACGGUGAAUACAGAGGGUAUAUUGAUGAUAUAAUGAUGCCCAUUACAUCUGGAGGACAUACUGAUAUUAUGAGGAUGCCUAGUACAUUCGAAGGAUAUAUUAAUGUUAUAAUGAUGCCUGCUACAUCCAGAGGAUAUAUUGAUGAUAUAAUGAUGCCUAGUAAGUCCGUUGGAUAUAUUGAUGAUAUUAUGAUGCCCGGUAAAUUCAGAUGAUAUAUUGAUGUUAUGAUAAUGCCCAAUAUGUUCGAAGGAUAUAACGAUAAUAUUAUGAUGGAUGGUAAGUCCGGAGGAAAUAUGGAUGAUAUGAUGAUGCUUGAUAAAUUC